rnacentral:lncRNA from 1 species
GAAUGUUGACUGUAGGACGAAACCUAGAUAGAACUUGACAACCAUUAUCUACUUACCUUACUCUGGUUCUUUUCUAAACUUAUCUUAAUCUACUCUCAUCUAUUUCCGCUUUACUCUGAUUACUCUUAUCUUUUCACUUCUAAAGACAAAUGUGGAUUUCACACUUUGAAAUCAUGUGCCUAAAGUGACCUUUAGGAAUAGGAGACCUACUCUUAGGAACAAAAACAAAACUAUUUUAUCUAUACGCUUGAGUGCUUGUUCUUAUGAUAUUUGCCUGAUUUGGAUCUUUGAUUGAGUGUGAUUAGUUGUGGAGUAACGUCCACAAUUAUAUCUACAUAUACAUAUAGGCAUAAAUACAAAUAAAUAAAAUUCACGAGAUAACUAAACAACUUAGAUUAUCCUCCAUUAAAAUGUAUCUAUUUCGUAGAGAUCCUGCUUAUCUUAAAAGACUCUCUCCUAUCUUAAAAUGAUCCAUCCUAUCUUAAAAGAUACUCUCUUACUUUAUUAGACUCAUCUCUUCUCGAAAGGAUUCUCAUCUUAUCCCAAUAGAUCUAACCAAUCUCAAAAGAUUCUAUUUUUCUUAGAGACUCAUCUUGUCCUAAUAAGCAUACUUAUCUCCACCACUUUGCUUAUCUCAUAAUGGUGUGACCGACAUAAUCUAUUUUAAAAUAAAAUAAGUAGAUCUUAUCUAGAUUAAUCUGGUCAUGCCUAGACCCCAUUCAACCUAAACUGAUCCAAAAUUAAUUAGGUCUUAUUUAGUCAAAUCUAGUUAUGCUAAAAUAAUCUAGUUUCCAUCUAAUCUGAACUAACCCAUUGUGACCCACUCAAAUAGGUUAGUUAAUACUUGUAACAUGGAUUAGACCCUAUCCACCUAUUCUAACGUGAUUCACUCGGCACUAAAUUAAGAAUAACCGACCAACUCGGCCUUAUGCAACUACCUUAACCAUCCGAUGGUUGCAUAACUCCUCUGUUUUAAUUUAAACAGAAAAUUCUGAUCUACCUCAAGUAUUAACUAAACCAUAUUCGUAUAAAUGGGUUUUAAACCUAAAUUUGUGUCCUGGACCAACUUGUCCGUGAAACCACGACUUAACCUAUGGUAUAGGUUGCCCAACCCAUUUAUAAAAAAAACUCUGUGUACCCGCAAUUAUUAUCCCAACCCGGUUAAUGACAUCUAACACCAUAGCCAAUGGUCCCCUAAAUUAGACUCAAGAAGAAGGAUUACAUUGACAAGGAAGGGUAUAACAGUCAAAGCGAAUCUCGAGAUGAAUCAGGACUUAAACAUUUUGGAUAAAGUCUUUUCCUUGCCAUAAUCUUUCUUACCACAACAUGUUCAGUUUAUAUCCCACAUAAAGAGUAGCUGGAUACCUAUGCUCUCCCAAUAUCCCACUACCGCCACCACCAGCCCCACAAAGCUACAUAAACAUAUAUAUAUAAAUUACUACUAUUUGUAAGAUCUAAAUGUUACUUGAGUUAGUAAAUGAUAUGAUACUAUUUUAGGAGGAAUAAAAAGGUCCAUUUGACCCCAUGUGUUGCUAAUAAAUUAUGCAUCAUGCUAAGAUUUUUGUUUGUGCAUACGUGUUGAGACAAUAUGAGUAUACACCCUUUCCUUACAAAUCUCGAGGACGAGAUUUCUGUUAAGGGGGGCAGGAUCUGUAAGGCCCAAAAUAUGUAUAAGAAAAAAACUAAUAAUAAAAUAAAUAUAUGGAGAAAAUAAGAUAGCAAAUUCAGAUAUCUCAAUUUAUACUUGAGUGAUAUCUCAAAUUAUAUUUGAGUAUUGAAAAUUUAGGGCUGGAUUUGUGAAAACCAAGAAUUUAUUUAGGUAGAAGGUAAUAGAAAAGUUUUCUAUUCAACUAAAUAAUUAUGAAUAUUAUUAAAUGAUGCACCAUAAGCCUUUAUUUAAAUGAAUGUUAAAUUUGGAAGUAACUUUUACUUCAUAUUUCACAUUCAAAAGACUAUUUUUCUACAAAGAGAGAAAACAAUAUGAGUGUGUACCAUAUUUCAAACAUAUACCAAACAAGUAAAAUAAUUAAAAUAAACAUACAUAUAUUGAAUCAUGCUAGAGUUUAUAUGUGUGUGCAUUUGAUAAUAAUAAUAAUGAAUAUAUUAAUAAAAAUUCAAUAAGGUCCAAAUUUGGAUUUAAACCUAAAUUUGGAAAUUAAAAUGUGGAGAAAAGAAAGGAAGAAUAACAAGCAAAGAUAAAGAAAAUGAAUAUAAAAAUAUUUAUAUCUCCUAUAUUAUUGGCUUCAAGUUGUACAUUUAAAAUGAGCAAGAGUUCACAAUUAAAAUUGAAUUCAAAUUGAAUUUUAGAAAUAAAAAGGAAAAAAUAAGAAUAGAAAUAGAGAAAGGAUACUAACCCUAGCUGGGCCGCUCCUCUCCUUUUCGGCCCCACUCUCUCUGCCGCGCACGCUCGGCCCAGCUACUGGCCCAUUCCACGCAGCUCAGUGCCACUGCCAUGCAGGCCCCACUUGUCGGCAGCUCCCUCUCCUCUCGCGCCUCACUGAAUGCUCGGUCCCACUGACCAAUCACCAGUCGUAGCCUUCACUCCGAUUCCUCGCGCUCGCAGUCACUGUGAGGUGGGCCCUGCGCCGUCAGGAUCUCCUUCUUCCGCGCAACAGCCUGCGCAUCGCGCGCACGGAACCGAGUCCGUUAAACCCUGGCGAGAUCCACGCGCUGGUAUGGUCGUGAUCCGAGGUACUCGCGCCAACCUCCUUCUGCCCGUGGUAUAAAAAAACGACCCCCCCUUCCUUCGUCCGUCCAUCCGUGGUGCGCCAUUACUGUGAAGAAUCAGGGAGAGAGAAAUCGAGGUGAGAGAAUGAGGGGAUCAACGAAUUGGGUAGGGGAAGAGUUCCCGGACCUGCGUGCGUCCUUCACCGGAGUACACGCAACCGUUGGCACCCUCACCGUGUGGAGUUGCGGUCGGGCCUGGGGUCAAUUGCUCGCCGGACUCAGGGUCCGCCGCUGGGCCGCUUCGCUUCGUGGUCGGACUCCACCGCCUACAUCAAGCCCUCGGUGGUCGAUCCAGGAGGAAGCGCAGAGCACAUGUAUUCUGUUCGCGGCCUCGUCUGGGCGGAAUUGAGCUCCAGCCCACCAAGAUUCCUCGCCGGUGUGGGAGCUUCAUCGCAUCGCCGCCGUGUGCCGUGGGCAGCCUCCCUGGCGUCGUUCCUGCUCCCGGUAUGCCCUCCCAUCUUGCAUGCGUUAGCUCAGGAACGCGUAGGUCUCUCGGGUUUCAGGAAUAGGGCGUCGGCGUGCCGGGACGGUGGCCACCGGUGGGCUCCGCCGUGUGUACCUGUGUGGCGCUGCCUCGGAGCCGUGGUAGGAUAGCUGAGGAGGGUGAACGGUUGGUUGUUGUUGAUCUGGAAUGUGCGGCCAAGAUCAGAACGUGCAUACCUCUUUGACGAAAUUAAAUCUUGGCCGUUGGGGCGAAUCCGAGGGAUGAGUAUGGCUGAUGGCGUGAACAUACUACAACCGUGGAUCUCUGAUCCUGCAGCCAUCAUUAGAUACGAUUCACCCAAUUGAUACGAUCUAAUCUGGGCCCCUGAACUGGGAUCGGAUGGCUAGGAUCGUUAGAUACCCUUUCGGCCGCCCAUCUUAUAUAAAAGCCCCUGGAUUUAUUAAGUAUAAACCCGCGGUCCUCCCCUGGGUGGUUCUGAGUCUUGGUGUCUUUUGCGCAGAACCCCCUGGGUUUCUAUUAAAUAGUGGCCGCAGUCCAAGUAACUCAGAAAUCUAUUAAAUUUAAUACAGAAAUUCUUUUUAAUGCAAAAUAAUGUCUCAAACUUAGGAAAUUCAUAACUUGAUGAAUUUAGCUCCAAAUUGAUUCAUUCCAGUGGCAUUAAUUUUGUUUAAGUAUUGUUUAUUACCUAGUACUUUUUUCUAACCAUGAAACUUGAUUUAAAAUUAUUCACAUGAAUAACUCUAUUCUAGGUAUUAAAUAACUUCAGAAAUUCCUAACUUAACAACUGUAGCCCCGAAUUUAGUGCUUCUUGUUCCUACGACCUCGUAACUUUGCGUAGAUUAUUAUUACACAGUUUAUUCUUAUGUUUGGUGUGAUGUUAAUUUUACCUAUACCAUGUUUAUCUAUAUUGCUACGUUUAGCAGUGAGGUCACGUGUUAUCUGAAGAGCAAGUUGGUACCUGGUAUCUCAAGUCCCAGGCAAGUUGUGCCCUUGAUCACUUCUUUUACCCACUCAUGUUCUAGUUAAUCAUAAUGAUCUGCAUAGGUUAAUUUUGAUGGGACCUAAUAGGUUACCCUAGUUUGUCUAUCUUUAUACCUUGUUUUACCACUCAAUAUUUUUGGGUAGUACUUGCUAGUGCUAUAUGUGGUUUUGGGUAUGGAGAUACAUUAUUCAUGAUUACACUUUUAUUAUCAGUUGUUAUUUACUGUUCAUGAUAAGAUCAUUAUGUUAAUUGGAACAUGGAGCGAUCACUCGGGAAAACAGUGCUACCACAAGGGUUUAUGGACGCCCUUGGCCGAUUAAUUAGGGAAGCUAGUGGAGGACUAUCUUACCCGAAAGGGGCAAGGGCAGUAGGGGAGUGGUCAGUGUAGGGAGGUCCUUGGUUGAUUUUUGCUGCGAUGGCGGUCAGGCAAGGGAUCCCUGCAUUGGAGCUUCCCAUAAACUGUAGCGGGUUUUCUGAAGCUAGUGGAACUUUGUAAAGGCCUCGUAGUGUUACCCUGCCUCGCCUCCUCGGUAGAGGUGUAUGGGAAGUCGCGAUCCCUUGGCAGAUGGGUAACAUGACUUGUGGGUAAAGAUGCGCAACCUCUGCAGAGUGUAAAACUGGUAUACUAGCCGUGCUCACAUGAUUAAUUUGUGGAACUAAAUUCAAUUUGUCAUAUGCAUUGCAUCGCAGGUGAUGUUAUUACUUUUCUUAAUUGGGUUGGUAUUUACUUAUACUUAGUAACUGCUAAUAAAAUUUUGACCAACUUUAAAAGCAAUGCUCAGCUCUAACCAUCCUCUUUGGUAAGCCUUACACUUCACAUGAGCUCCCACCUUUGGCGAGUUCAUGCACAUUAUUCCCCACAACUUGUUGAGCGAUGAACGUAUGUGAGCUCACUCUUGCUGUCUCACACCCCCCCACAGGUCAAGAAUAGGUACCACAGGAUGAGGCGCAUGCAGGAUGCUGUGAUGUGAUCGUGAGAGGUCUAGGUCGUCGUCUCCCAGUCAACUUUGGGUUGCUGGACCGUUGUCUCCUUAUACUGUAUUUAUUUAUUUAUUUUUUGUAUAGAACUCCUGUUAUAUAGUAAAGUUGUGACAUUCGAUCCUGUGCCAUGAUUCAUCAUAUGUGUGAGACUUGGUCCCAGCACACCUGGUGAUUAUGUUCGCGCCCGGGUCUUGGUGCCUCGAAAUCCGGGUGUGACACCUCUGGAGCUACUACAUAUGGACCUCUUCGGACCGGUUGCCUACCUCAGCAUCGGGGGAAGUAAGUAUGGUCUUGUUAUUGUUGAUGAUUUUUCCCGCUUCACUUGGGUAUUCUUUUUGUAGGAUAAAACAGAAACCCAAGGGACCCUAAAGCGCUUUCUAAGGAGAGCUCAAAACGCAUUUGAGCUUAAGGUGAAAAAGAUAAGAAGCGACAACAGGUCCGAGUUCAAGAAUCUUCAAGUGGAGGAGUACCUUGAGGAGGAAGGAAUCAAGCACGAGUUCUCUGCUCCCUACACACCACAGCAAAACGGUGUGGUAGAGAGGAAGAACGGGACGCUCAUAGACAUGGCAAGGACAAUGCUUGGAGAAUUCAAGACGCCCGAGCGGUUUUGGUCGGAAGCUGUGAACACAGCUUGCCACGCCAUAAACCGGCUCUACCUUCAUCGCCUCCUCAAGAAGACCUCGUAUGAACUUAUGACUAGUAACAAACCAACUGUCUCAUACUUUCGUGUAUUUGUGAGUAAAUGUUACAUUCUAGUGAAGAAAGGUAGAAACUCUAAAUUUGCUCCCAAAGCUGUAGAAGGGUUUUUGCUAGGUUAUGACUCAAAUACAAAGGCGUAUAGAGUCUUCAACAAAUCAUCGGGUUUGGUUGAAGUCUCUAGCGAUGUUGUAUUUGAUGAGACUAAUGGCUCUCCAAGAGAGCAAGUUGAUCUUGAUGAUGUAGAUGAAGAUGAUGUUCCAACGGCCGCAAUUCGCACCAUGGCAAUUGGAGAUGUGCGACCACAGGAACAACAAGAGCAAGAUCAACCUUCUUCCUCAACAAUGGGGCACCCCCCAACUCAAGAUGAUGAACAGGUUCUUCAAGAGGAGGUGUGUGAUCAAGGGGGAGCACAAGAAGAUUAUGUUAUGGAGGAAGAAGCAGCACGGCCCCCUCCAACUCAAGUCCGAGCGACGGUUCAAAGGAAUCAUCCCGUCGACCAGAUUCUGGGGGAUAUAAGCAAGGGAGUAACUACUCGCUCAAGACUAGCUAACUUUUGUGAGCAUUACUCGUUUAUCUCUUCUAUUGAGCCUUUCAGGGUAGAAGAUGCCUUGCAAGAUCCGGACUGGGUGUUGGCCAUGCAGGAAGAGCUCAACAACUUCAAAAGGAAUGAAGUUUGGAGCCUGGUGCCACGUCCCAAGCAAAACAUUGUGGGAACCAAGUGGGUGUUCCGCAACAAGCAAGACGAGCACGGGGUGGUGACAAGGAACAAGGCUCGACUUGUGGCAAAAGGUUAUGCCCAAGUCGCAGGUUUGGACAUUGAGGAGACUUUUGCUCCUGUGGCUAGGCUAGAGUCUAUUUGCAUUUUGUUAGCCUAUGCCGCUCACCACUCUUUCAGGUUGUUCCAAAUGGAUGUGAAGAGCGCUUUCCUCAAUGGGCCAAUCAAGGAGGAGGUGUAUGUGGAGCAACCCCCCGGCUUUGAGGAUGACCGGUACCCCGACCAUGUGUGUAAGCUCUCUAAGGCGCUCUAUGGACUUAAGCAAGCCCCAAGAGCAUGGUAUGAAUGCCUUAGAGAUUUUCUAAUUGCUAAUGCUUUCAAGGUUGGGAAAGCCGAUCCAACUCUUUUCACUAAGACUUGUGAUGGUGACCUAUUUGUGUCCCAAAUUUAUGUCGAUGACAUAAUAUUUGGUUCUACUAACCAAAAGUCUUGUGAGGAGUUUAGCAGGGUGAUGACACAGAAAUUUGAGAUGUCGAUGAUGGGCGAGUUGAACUACUUCCUUGGGUUCCAAGUGAAGCAACUCAAGGACGGCACCUUCAUCUCCCAAAUGAAGUACACGCAAGACUUGAUCAAGCGGUUCGGGAUGAAGGACGCCAAGCCCACGAAGACACCAAUGGGCACUGACGGACACGUCGACCUCAACAAAGGAGGUAAGUCCGUUGAUCAAAAGGCAUACCGGUCCAUGAUAGGUUCGUUGCUUUAUUUAUGUGCUAGUAGACCGGAUAUUAUGCUUAGCGUAUGCAUGUGUGCUAGAUUUCAAUCUGAUCCAAGAUAGUGUCACCUAGUGGUCGUUAAGCGAAUUCUUAGAUAUUUAGUUGCUACGCCUUGCUUCGGGAUCUAGUAUCCAAAGGGGUCAACCUUUAACUUGAUUGGAUACUCAAACUCCGAUUAUGCUGGAUGCAAGGUUGAUAGGAAGAGUACAUCAGGGACGUGCUAAUUCCUAGGAAGGUCCCUGGUGUCUUGGAGUUCUAAGAAACAAACCUCUGUUGCCCUAUCCACCGCGGAGGCCGAGUAUGUUGCCGCAGGGCAGUGUUGCGCGCAACUACUUUGGAUGAGGCAAACCCUCCGGGACUUUGGCUACAAUCUGAGCAAACUCUCACUCCUAUGUGACAAUGAGAGUGCAAUCCGCAUGGCGGAUAAUCCUGUUGAACACAGCCGCACUAAGCACAUAGACAUCCGACAUCACUUUUUGAGAGACCACCAGCAAAAGGGAGAUAUCGAAGUGUUCUAUAUUAGCACCGAGAACCAGCUAGCCGAUAUCUUUACCAAGCCUUUAGAUGAGAAAACCUUUUGCAGGCUGCGUAGUGAGCUAAAUGUCUUAGAUUCGCGUAACUUGGAUUGAUUUAUAGCAUACAUGUGUUUUAUGCCUUUGAUCAAGUUAUUUUUUGCAUUUAUGAGAUUUAUUGUUUAUUGAUGGUGCUCAAGUUGUGCAAGGGAUCCCCGGACCUCACAAGUCCAUGUGUGAGUAAUGCACAUAUUUAGGGGGAGAAUGUUAGAAAUAUGCCCUAGAGAUAAUCAUAGAGAUGAGCAUAUUUCUUUGUAUCCAUGAUAUAUAUAUUGCUUAAUUGAAUAUCCAUGGAAGGCACCUUGUAUUGAUUAGCAAUUAUGUGAAUUGUUUGUGAGAUUCUUUACUUAUAUGGUUAUUCUAAAUGAUGUCCCUAGUCAGAGUCGAUGACUAGCACAUGUAUUAGUUGAUGACUACAUUUCACAAGUCAUGAACAUGGAGAUGUUAAACUAAUAAUGUGGGCGCAUGUAUGACAUGAGGCUGGACCGACCCAACGUGAGAUAUUGUAAUAUAGUUCUCUUCUUGCAACAUGAAUACUGUAUCCUUAGACCUGAGAUUGUCGCAUGUUCUCAAGAUGUGAAUUGACUUACUUAGGGACUAUCAAACGCUAUCUCGUAACUGGGUAGUUAUAAAGGUAGUUUUGGGUUUGUCAGGAAGCAUGCUGUGAGGCAUGGUCAGUCAAGAUGGAAUUUGUCCCUCUCUUUGUGAGAGAGAUAUCUCUGGGCCCCUCGAGUGAUUGGAUCAAGAAAUGCAUGGCCAUGCUAGGGUUAAGAGUUAACCAUUGAAAGGAUUCAAUUCACAAUAUCGAGAAACAGAGGUCAGCUUAGAGCCAGACCAAAUAUCGUGAGACAAAGGGAACAGCAUGUACGUAAUGUCGCAAUGGUUCGUCUGAUAUGAUCUUUGCGUACACAUAGGAGUUGACAUGUCUUGCUAGAGGCCGCUGUCAAUUAUUGGGCCAAGUAAGAGUACUCGGGCUAUGUCUAUUUGUACGUGAACCUAUAGGGUCACACACUUAAGGGGAAGGAAGCCUAAUUCGGAUUAGAUCCGAAAUUAGACUGGGAGGGUUAAUGAUGAGCCUCGGCGUCAGAAGCCCACCAUAACGCCUAUAUAAUGAGGGGCGGGGGCGCGAUUAAGGGAUAACCUAAUUGGCCACCUGCAAACCAGCAGCCGCCGCUCGCCUCUCGCCCUCGCCAAGCCACCGUCGCGAACCUAGCAGUUCGGUACGCGGCGCUUCCUCCCUGUACGUGUGGAUACCUCGGAGGUGCUGCAUCUGGAGCACUUAGACGAACCGUGUGAGGACGUGAAGGACGCCGGCAACUGCACGGCACUGCUCGACGCGUUCGUCUACAUCGAGACGUCUUCCGCUGCUCUGCGCGUCUAGUGGUAAUUCCAUGACCUAUAACCGCAGUAGUUCUUGGUAUUAUGGGGUUGAAAAUUUUGUUUUGCGCUAGUGUAGCCUCCCCGUAAUCCUACAGUGGUAUCGGAGCAGGUUCUGCGUAGUUUUAGGUCUGGAUCUAGGUUCAUGAGAUGGAUCUACUUGAUGCACGGUUUGAUUAGAUCAAUUGGUAAUAAAGGGUUGAAGUAGAUUACAUCGGAUAUGACUAGAGAGAUCAGUUCGUCCUUCUCUGUUGUAUGCGCGACUUGCCCCUACCGGCUGGAAUCACCAUCGGGGCUAACUGCGCACACAACCAGCAGAUUGACGUAACAGAUCGACAUCAUGAGUGUAAUCUUCUUCGGGUCGAAAGUCUCGGAUUUGGGUUGAUUUGAUCAACCGCAUGAGAUUUCCAGUGGAAUUUCCAUACAUACGAUGCAUGGAAUCCUGUGUGGUUUUCAGGGACCGCCGUGGCUAUCUGCUGAAGUGGCGAACGUAUAGAAACAUGUUUGUCUAACCUGUUUUUGCAGGACAUCUUGUGAUCGGUAUGGCUAUUGUGUAUAUGAUGCAUGUUAAUAAAUUAUUCAUGACCUGCGUGUCGUGACCAGGGCAAUACGGCUAGAGCCACAUGUAUUGUCCAAAUUUAAUGUAAUGACCUGCGUGUCAACAUGUGAUGAUCCAAAGCGUAUAUGUAAUUUGUUUACCAGCAUACGUUAGAUAGAUCUUGAAGGACUCAUCACCUGGAGGAUGGCAUACCUAUAUCAUGGAGAUGGAGAUCAUCGUGAUGGACAGAUUAUUGGAGAUGGGGAUCACCAUGUGAAAGCAAGCCAUACCGAAUCACAACUGUUGUGUGAAUGCCAUUCUUAUUGUUCUACUUGUUUAUAUUGCAUAUAAUUCCUUGCGUGCGAUGUUAUAAGUAGGACGAUCCCUCAUAAAUGUUUAAGCUUUAAUGCCUCUCCAAACCUUGCACUAUCAUAAGUCUUGUACAAUUGGUGGUGGGUCUAUGAAAUUAGGGUGCCACCAGUUUUCCUUGACUAGAUAGGUUUGUAUCGGAUACGAACUGCAGAAAGGGUUGGUUAACUUAAACAAAGUCAGCUUAAUGGUUAAGGACUUUGAGGCAUAAGGUUGGGAGCCGAGACAUAGAGAUGUCACCCAACAACAGGAGUCAUAUAUAUGAUAUGAUUAGCAAGGAGUUGCUUACCGAUCUACCUUGUCUUCUAGCGGUGAUGCUAAAGCUCACUAGUAGACUUGUUAGUUGUGGGUUCUGAAUCACUAAGUAUCAAUCGAGGGAUAUUGAUUUUAGUGGGAGUAGACUAUUAAAUGUUUAAUAUGAUUUACUCUGUCAUGGAUAUUUUUGUCUUAGUAUUUUGCAUUAUUUUUUUGUAGAUAAAUGGCACCUAGCACACCAACAUUUACUUUGCGAUCAAUUCUUGAAAAGGAUAAGUUAAAUGGAACAAACUAUACGGAUUGGAUCUGUAACCUGAGAAUUGUUCUCAGGGCUGAAAAAAAGGAAGACGUUCUAGACACCCCACUACCAGAGGAUCCUGGUGAAAAUGCAACUGCUGCAGCUAAAACCGCUUACAAGAAAGCAAUGGAUACUAAUCUUGAAGUGAGUUGCCUAAUGCUUGCUUGCAUGGAGCCUGAGCUGCAGAUGCAGUUUGAGACAAACCAUGAGGUACACGAUAUGAUCGUGGCGCUCAAGGAUAUGUUCCAGACUCAGGCUAGGACUGAAAGGUUCAAUGUGUCCAAAGCCUUUCUGGAAUGCAAGCUAGCAGAAGGCGCAGCAGUUGGGCCACACAUAAUCAAAAUGGUUGGUUACAGUCAGAGGUUGGAGAAGCUAGGCUUCCCAAUAAGCCAAGAGUUGGCCACUGACUUCAUUUUGGCAUCUCUUCCGCCCAGCUAUGGAAACUUCAUCACGAACUACCAUAUGCAUGGGGCGGAGAGGGGCCUCAAUGAACUAUGUGGCAUGCUGAAAACUGCAGAGGGGGACAUAAAGAAAAGCGUUGGCAGCAGCGGCCAUGUGAUGGCGGUCCAAAACAAACCCAACUUUAAGAAGAAGGGUAAAACUCAAAAGAAGAAGGGCAAGGCAAAGGAUACAGUAUCCAAGCCAAAUCAAAAGCCCAAGGCUGGACCAGCUGCAGAUGCAGAGUGCUUUUAUUGCAAAGAACUUGGUCACUGGAAAAGGAAUUGCAAGCAGUACUUGGCCUCUAUUAAGGAUCACGGCGGUAAGGGUACAGCCGCAGCAGGUACACUUGCUAUUCACAUUACAGAAAUUUUUCUUGCUAAUUCUUAUAUUAAUUCUUGGGUAUUUGAUACCGGAUCGGUUGCCCAUAUUUGCAAUUCGAUGCAGGGAAUGAUAAGAAGUAGAAGCGUGAAAAGAGGAGAAGUUGAUUUCCGGGUAGGCAAUAAUGCAAGAGUUGCUGCGUUGACCGUCGGGACGAUGCAACUCCACCUCCCAUCAGGAUUUAUUUUGGAGUUAAAUAAUUGUUAUCUAGUUCCUAGUAUGAGUCGAAACAUUAUGUCUCCUUCAUGUUUGAUGAAGAAUGGUUAUUCAUUUGCGAGUGAAAACAAUGGUUGUGUGAUCUCUAAGAAUGGCAUGUUUGUGGCUUUUGCAUCCAUUAUGAAUGGGUUAUUCAUUUUAAAUCUUGAUGAUGCACCUAUCUGUAAUAUUAGUGCUAAAAGGCCUCGGCCUAAUGAUUUAAGUCCUACCUACAUGUGGCACUGUCGUUUGGGUCAUAUAAGUGAGAAUCGCAUGAAGAAGCUUCAUUCUGAUGGGCUUUUAACUUCGUUUGAUUUUGAAUCAUACGAGACAUGUGAAGCUUGCUUACUUGGUAAGAUGACCAAGGCGCCUUUCACGGGUUUACUGGAGAGGACAUUAGAUUUAUUGGAACUCAUACAUACUGAUGUGUGCGGACCAAUGAGUACGACAGCUAGGGGAGGAUUCCAAUACUUCAUAACCUUCACUGAUGAUUUUAGUAGAUAUGGGUAUGUCUACUUAAUGAAACACAAGUCUGAAUCCUUAGAAAAGUUCAAAGAGUUUCAGAAUGAAGUAGAAAAUCAGCGUGGCAAGAAAAUUAAAGCACUGCGAUCAGAUCGCGGUGGUGAAUAUUUGAGUCAUGAGUUUAGCAAUCAUCUAAAGAGUUGUGGAAUUGUUCCACAGCUUACGCCGCCUGGAACGCCUCAGAGGAAUGGCGUGUCUGAGCGACGUAAUCGGACUUUAUUGGAUAUGGUUCGAUCAAUGAUGAGCCAGUCGGACCUACCUUUGUCGUUUUGGGGAUACGCUCUAGAAACAGCAGCUUUCACACUAAAUAGGGUACCAUCUAAGUCCGUAGUUAAGACACCAUAUGAGAUGUGGACUGGGAAGACUCCCAGUUUGUCUUUUCUGAAGAUUUGGGGUUGUGAGGUUUACGUCAAGCGACUACAGUCGAAUAAACUCACUCCAAAAUCGGACAAGUGCAUGUUCGUGGGAUAUCCAAAGGAAACUUUAGGAUAUUACUUUUACCACCGGUCAGAGGGAAAAGUGUUUGUCGCCCGGAACGGUGUGUUCUUAGAGAAAGAGUUUCUCAAAAGAGAGAAAAGUAAACAAAAUGUGUAUCUUGAAGAAGUUCAGGAUGAGCCAGUGGGACAAGAUUCAACAAGUGAUGCUAAUGUAGCAGAACAAGUUGAGACGUCUAUGGCAAGAGAAUCACCACCACAACUUCGAAGGUCAGCAAGGCUUCACGAGGCACGAGGAGAAGUGCUAUUGUUGGGCAAUGGGGAAGUGUUGUUGUUAGACAACGACGAACCUGCAACAUAUUCAGAAGCGAUGAUGGACCCAGAUUCCGUGAAAUGGCAUGUCGCCAUGAGAUCCGAGAUAGAUUCCAUGGGAGAAAAUCAAGUUUGGAACUUGGUUGACCCGCCUGAUGGUGUUAGACCUAUAGAAUGCAAAUGGAUCUAUAAGAAGAAGAUAGACAUGGAUGGAAAUGUUCACAUCUAUAAGGCUCGACUUGUUGCAAAGGGUUUUCGACAAGUUCAAGGAGUUGACUAUGACGAGACUUUCUCGCCAGUAGCGAUGCUUAAAUCUAUUCGGAUCAUUCUAGCUAUUGCCGCAUAUUUCGAUUAUGAGAUUUGGCAGAUGGAUGUCAAAACAGCUUUCCUUAAUGGAAACCUAGAUGAGGACGUGUAUAUGAUACAGCCCGAGGGUUUUGUCGAUCCGAUCAAUGCUAGAAAGAUAUGCAAACUUCAGAAAUCCAUUUAUGGGUUGAAGCAAGCAUCUCGGAGUUGGAACAUUCGUUUUGAUGAAGUGAUCAAAGGGCUUGGUUUUCAUCAGAAUGAAGAAGAAGCUUGUGUUUACAAGAAGGAAAGUGGGAGCGCUGUUGUAUUUCUGAUCUUAUAUGUGGAUGACAUAUUAUUGAUUGGGAAUGACAUUCCUAUGCUGGAGUCCGUCAAGGCUUCACUGAAAAAGAGUUUUUCUAUGAAGGACUUAGGGGAAGCAGCAUAUAUUUUGGGCAUAAGGAUCUAUAGAGAUAGGUCGAAGAGGCUUAUAGGAUUAAGUCAAGAUACGUACAUUGACAAGGUUUUGAAACGGUUCAACAUGGAACAGUCCAAGAAAGGUUUCAUACCUAUGUCACAUGGUAAACACCUUAGCCAGAUGCAAUGUCCUGCGACGGCUAAUGAGCGGGAGCGCAUGAGUAAGGUACCAUACGCCUCAGCGAUUGGAUCAAUCAUGUAUGCCAUGAUAAGUACACGCCCAGAUGUUUCAUACGCUAUAAGUGCUACGAGUAGGUACCAGGCUGAUCCAGGUGAGGAUCACUGGACAGCGAUAAAAGGCAUUCUUAAGUACUUAAGAAGGACUAAAGAUAUGUUCCUGGUAUAUGGGGGUAAGGAGGAGCUUGUUGUAACUGGUUACACCGAUGCUAGCUUCCAAACUGACCCAGACGAGUUAAAAUCGCAAUCAGGUUUUGUGUUCACAAUAAAUGGUGGUGCUGUUAGUUGGAAGAGUUCCAAACAGGAGACUGUGACUGAUUCUACAACAGAAGCCGAGUACAUUGCAGCUUCUGAAUCUGCGAAGGAAGGUGUUUGGAUAAGAAAGUUCCUCAUCGAGCUUGGUGUGUUUCCUAAUGCAUCUAGCCCAUUGAACCUCUACUGUGACAACAAUGAGGCUAUUGCGCAAGCUAAGGAGCCAAGGAACCACCAGAAAAACAAACACGUACUGCGGAAGUUUCACCUCAUACGGGAAUUCAUUAGGCGGGGUGAGAUAAAGAUAUGCAAAAUACAUACGGAUUUGAAUGUUGCUGAUCCUUUGACAAAACCUCUUCCACAACCUAAGCAUGAGGCACACGUGAGAUCUAUGGGUAUUAGAUAUCUUCUAGAUUAACUCUAGUGCAAGUGGGAGACUGUUAGAAAUAUGCCCUAGAGAUAAUCAUAGAGAUGAGCAUAUUUCUUUGUAUCCAUGAUAUAUAUAUUGCUUAAUUGAAUAUCCAUGGAAGGCACCUUGUAUUGAUUAGCAAUUAUGUGAAUUGUUUGUGAGAUUCUUUACUUAUAUGGUUAUUCUAAAUGAUGUCCCUAGUUAGAGUCGAUGACUAGCACAUGUAUUAGUUGAUGACUACAUUUCACAAGUCAUGAACAUGGAGAUGUUAAACUAAUAAUGUGGGCGCAUGUAUGACAUGAGGCUGGACCGACCCAACGUGAGAUAUUGUAAUAUAGUUCUCUUCUUGCAACAUGAAUACUGUAUCCUUAGACCUGAGAUUGUCGCAUGUUCUCAAGAUGUGAAUUGACUUACUUAGGGACUAUCAAACGCUAUCUCGUAACUGGGUAGUUAUAAAGGUAGUUUUGGGUUUGUCAGGAAGCAUGCUGUGAGGCAUGGUCAGUCAAGAUGGAAUUUGUCCCUCUUUGUGAGAGAGAUAUCUCUGGGCCCCUCGAGUGAUUGGAUCAAGAAAUGCAUGGUCGUGCUAGGGUUAAGAGUUAACCAUUGAAAGGAUUCCAAUUCACAGUAUCGAGAAAGAGAGGUCAGCUUAGAGCCAGACCAAAUAUCGUGAGACAAAGGGAACAGCAUGUACGUAAUGUCGCAAUUGUUCGUCUGAUAUGAUCUUUGCGUACACAUAGGAGUUGACAUGUCUUGCUAGAGGCCGCUGUCAAUUAUUGGGCCAAGUAAGAGUACUCGGGCUAUGUCUAUUUGUACGUGAACCUAUAGGGUCACACACUUAAGGGGAAGGAAGCCUAAUUCGGAUUAGAUCCGAAAUUAGACUGGGCUUUAGGGUUAAUGAUGGGCCUCGGCGUCAGAAGCCCACCAUAACGCCUAUAUAAUGAGGGGCGGGGGCGCGGUUAAGGGAUAACCUAAUUGGCCACCUGCAAACCAGCAGCCGCCGCUCGCCUCUCGCCCUCGCCAAGCCGCCGUCGCGAACCUAGCAGUUCGGUACGCGGCGCUUCCUCCCUGUACGUGUGGAUACCUCGGAGGUGCUGCAUCUGGAGCACUUGGACGAACCGUGCGAGGAUGUGAAGGACGCCGGCAACUGCACGGCACUGCUCGACGCGUUCGUCUACAUCGAGACGUCUUCCGCUGCUCUGCGCGUCUAGUGGUAAUUCCAUGACCUAUAACCGCAGUAGUUCUUGGUAUUAUGGGGUUGAAAAUUUUGUUUUGCGCUAGUGUAGCCUCCCCGUAAUCCUACAUAGAAGUGCUACAACUUGAUCCUUUGAGUCUAACAAUUGUGUUGAGUUUACUUAAGGUAGCCUCAAAGGUGAAUUGAGUGGGAAAUGUGAACUUGGACCAUGCAAAGACUUCCACUGCACUCCGGUAUUAACUCCAAGUUCAUAUCUAUGCUCUUAUUGCCUUCUUGCUCCUAAUUGACAAUUUUGGUGAGGCAAUGGGGUUAAACGGCCAAUAAUGAUCCCGUUUUGGUGCUUAAUGCCAAAGGGGGAGAAAUUAAGGCCAAAGCAAAUGGAUCAGCUACCACUUGAGAAUUUUGAAAAUAGUAGAGUUAGAAUUUUUGAUUUGUCAAAAUACUCUUAUUGUCAAAAUUUGGUCUCUUGUGGGGAGAAUGUUUGAUUAUGGGAAAAGGGGGAGUUUUUGGCUCUUAAUCAUUUUUACUCUUGGAUUAUCUCUCUUUGUGCCCAAACAAGUGUGUUUGACUUAGAUAUAGGAAAAUGAAUUUGUUUGCAAAAACAAACCAAGUGGUGGCAAAGAACGAUCCAAAUAUGUCGAAUCUUGUCAAAGACUAUUUUUGUUCUAAAUUGCAUUGAUGUUGCACUUCUAUUUUUUGUUUUUUGAUGUGUUGGCAUAAAUCACCAAAAAGGGGGAGAUUGAAAGGGAAAUGUGCCCUUGGGCCAUUUCUAGUAUAUUUUGGUGAUUAAGUGUCCAACACAUAUUAAGUGGGUUAUUAUAUGUCAAAUGAUGAAUGAAGUGCAAAUCAACAAGAAGGUAUGUUUCUAAGACUUAGUACAUUGAUUUGGGUACUAAUGUAUUGUAUCUAAGUUAUAGAAACAGAAGAAAAAGGAUUGGAAAAGAGUUGGCUAUGUACAGCCAACUGCUGCUCGGUCUGGGUGCACCGGACAGUGUCCGGUGUGCCAGACUGGCUUCCGGCGAACUGGCAGCUCUCGGAAAAACUUCGGCGGUGUACAGCUAUAAUUCACCGGACUGUCCGGUGGUGCACCGGACUGUCCGGUGAGCCAACGGCCGCCAGCGCAACGGUCGGCCGCCAAAUCCGCGGGCGACGCGUGGCCCGCUCCAACGGUCGGCUGGGGGCACCGGACUGUCCGGUGUGCACCGGACAGUGUCCGGUGCGCCAACCAGCCUGAAGCUGCAACGGUCGGCUACGCCAGGAAUGGAAGGAAAUCGAGCACCGAACAUGAAUAGUGGUUGUCCGGUGGCACACCGGACUGUCCGGUGCGCCACCCGACAGAAGGCAACUUUGGCCUUCCAAGAAUGCCUCCAACGGCUCCUAGCUGCCUUGGGGCUAUAAAAGGGACCCUAGGCGCAUGGAGGAGACACCCAAGCAUUCUUUGAUCAUUCCUAAGCAUCAAUACUCCAUACUCGCGCAUUGGAUUCUUUGAGAUAGUGACUUGAGCUCCAAUUGAGUAGAGAACUCCUUGAGUUGUGUUUUGAGCUUGAGUUGUGGCUUGUGUGCGUGAUUGUGCUCUGGUUUUGAGUCUUGUGUGUGUUGCUCUUCCUUCCCUUACUUCUGUGCUUCUUUGUGAUCAUCAAUUGUAAGGGCGAGAGGCUCCAAGUUGUGGAGAUUCCUCGCAAACGGGAGAAAAGUAUAAGAAAGAAGAACACCGUGGUAUUCAAGUUGAUCAUUGGAUCACUUGAAAGGGGUUGAGUGCAACCCUCGUCCAUUGGGACGCCACAACGUGGAAGUAGGCAAGUGUUAUACUUGGCCGAACCACGGGAUAACUCGCGUGUCUCUUGUGAUUGCUUUUCUGUGUGAUUAUCGUGACUCACAAGAACUUGAUCUAUAGCCACUUGGUUUUAUCAUUCUAACACUUAACCAAGUUUUGUGGCUAUUAGUUGUUGAAUUUUACAGGAUCACCUAUUCACCCCCUCUAGGUGCUCUCAGAACUUAAAAACGCACGUUCUUAACGUUAAGUUCGAUGGUACCCACAUUCUUAAUGUUAAGAACAUCGGGGCCGUCAAACUUACUUUUCUAAGUUCGUCCAAAAAUCACCAUCGGUUAUAUUCGUCGGUGUUGGGGGCCUUCUGAAAGUCGCCUAGAGGGGGGGUGAAUAGGGCGAAACUGAAAUUUACAAAGUUAAUCACAACUACAAGCCGGGUUAGCGUUAGAAAUAUAAUCGAGUCCGCGAGAGAGAGGGAAAAACAAAUCGCAAGCGAAUAAGGAGUGUGACACGCGGAUUUGUUUUACCGAGGUUCGGUUCUCGCAAACCUACUCCCCGUUGAGGAGGCCACAAAGGCCGGGUCUUUUUGAACCCCUUCCCUCCCUCAAACGGUCCCUCGGACCGAGUGAGCUUUCUCUUCUCAAAUCAACCGGGAACAAAACUUCCCCGUAAGGACCACCACACAAUUGGUGUCUCUUGCCUUGGUUACAAGUGAGUAUUGAUCUCAAGAAAGAAUGAGAAAGAAGAAAGCAAUCCAAGCGCAAGAGCUCAAAAGAAUACAACAAAUCACUCUGACUUAACACUAAAGCUUUUGUGGAAUUGGGAGAGGAUUUGAUCACUUGGGUGUGUCUUGUAUUGAAUGUCUAGCUCUUGUAAGUGGUUGGAAGGUUGAAAACUUGGAUGACUUGAAUGUGGGGUGGUUGGGGGUAUUUAUAACCCCAACCACCAAACUAGCCGUUUGGUGGAGGCUGCUGUCGCAGGGCGCACCGGACAGUCUGGUGCACACCGGACAGUGUCCGGUGCGCCAGCCACGUCACCAGGCCAUUGGGUUCCGACUGUUGGAGCUCUGACUGCUGGGCCCGCCUGGAUGUCCGGUGGCACACCGGACAUGUACUAUGGAGUGUCCGGUGCGCCACUUCGCGCGUGCCUGACUUCUGCGCGCUCUAGCGCGCAUUAAUUGCUUCUGCAGGUAACCGUUGGCGUGAAGUAGUCGUUGCUCCGCUGGCUCACCGGACAGUCCGGUGUACACCGGACAUGUCCGGUGAAUUAUAGCGGAGCGGAUUCCCGAAGCUGGCGAGUUCAGAGUCGCUCUCCUCUGGAGCACCAGACACUGUCCGGUGGAGCACCGGACAGUCCGGUGAAUUAUAGCGAAGCGCCUCUGAAAAUUUCCGAAGGUGAAGAGUUUGGCUUGGAGUUCCCUGGUGCACCGGACAGUCCGGUGCGCCAGACCAGGACAGCCUUCGGUUAUCCCUUGCUCUCUUUGUUGAACCCAAUUCUUGGUCUUUUUAUUGGCUAAGUGUGAACCUUUGGCACCUGUAUAACUUAUAGACUAGAGCAAACUAGUUAGUUCAAUUAUUUGUGUUGGGCAAUUCAACCACCAAAAUCAUUUAGGAAAUAGGUGUAAGCCUAAUUCCCUUUCAAUCUCCCCCUUUUUGGUGAUUGAUGCCAACACAAACCAAAGCAAAUAUAGAAGUGCAUAAUUGAACUAGCUUGCAUAAUAUAAGUGCAAAGGUUGCUUAGAAUUGCGCAAAUAUAAAUACUUAUAGAAUAUGCAUGGAUUGUUUCUUUAUUUUUAACAUUUUGGACCACGCUUGCACCACAUGUUUUGUUUUUGCAAAUUCUUUUGUAAAUUCUUUUCAAAGUCCUUUUGCAAUUAGUCAAAGAUAAAUGAAUCAGAUUUUGCGAAGCAUUUUCAAGAUUUGAAAUUUUCUCCCCCUGUUUCAAAUGCUUUUCCUUUGACUUACACAAAACUCCCCCUUGAUAAAUUCCUCCUCUUAGUGUUCAAGAGGGUUUUAAGAUAUUGAUUUUGAAAAUACUACUCUCUCCCUUUUUUGAACACAAUGAGAUACCAAUUUGAAAAAUCAUACCAAUUAAAAAACUCUUUUUAAAUUUAGUGGUGGUGCGGUCCUUUUGCUUUGGGCGAAUACUUUCUCCCCCUUUGGCAUGAAUCGCCAAAAACGGAUACUUGAGUGAAAUAUAAGCCCUUUUCCUAACAACUUUCUCCCCUUUGGCAAAUAAAACAUGAGUGAAGAUUAUACCAAAGACGAAGAGAUGCUCGGAGCGACGGCGAAGGAUGAGUUACGUUGUGGAAGCCUUUGUCUUCGCCGAAGACUUUAAUUCCCUUUCAAUAUACCUAUGACUUGGUUUGAAAUUCACUUGAAAACACAUUAGUCAUAGCACAUGAAAGAGACAUGAUCAAAGGUAUAUAAAUGAGCUAUGUGUGCAAAACAUCAAAAGAAAUUCCUAGAAUCAAGAAUAUUUAGCUCAUGCCUAAGUUUGUUAAAGGUUUGUUCAUCAAGUGGCUUGGUAAAGAUAUCGGCUAAUUGAUCUUUAGUGUUAAUGUAUGAAAUCUCGAUAUCUCCCUUUUGUUGGUGAUCCCUUAAAAAGUGAUACCGAAUGGCUAUGUGUUUAGUGCGGCUAUGCUCAACGGGAUUAUCCGCCAUGCGGAUUGCACUCUCAUUAUCACAUAGAAGAGGGACUUUGGUUAAUUUGUAACCGUAGUCCCGAAGGGUUUGCCUCAUCCAAAGUAGUUGCGCGCAACAAUGGCCUGCGGCAAUGUACUCGGCUUCGGCGGUAGAAAGAGCUACAAAAUUUUGCUUCUUUGAAGCCCAAGACACCAAGGAUCUUCCCAAGAACUGGCAAGUCCCCGAUGUGCUCUUUCUAUUAAUUUUACACCCCGUCCAAUCGGCAUCCGAAUAACUAAUUAAAUCAAAUGUGGAUCCCCUAGGAUACCAAAGCCCAAACUUAGGAGUAUAAACUAAAUAUCUCAAGAUUCGUUUUACGGCCGUAAGGUGAGCUUCCUUAGGGUCGGCUUGGAAUCUUGCACACAUGCAUACAGAAAGCAUAAUAUCCGGUUGAGAUGCACAUAAAUAGAGUAGAGAGCCUAUCAUCGACCGGUAUACCUUUUGAUCCACGGACUUACCUUCCGUGUCGAGGUCGAGAUGCCCAUUGGUUCCCAUGGGUGUCUUGAUGGGCUUGGCAUCCUUCAUCCCAAACUUGUUUAGAAUAUCUUGAGUAUACUUCGUUUGGCUUAGGAAGGUGCCCUCUUGGAGUUGCUUCACUUGAAAUCCCAAGAAGUACUUCAACUCCCCCAUCAUAGACAUCUCAAAUUUUUGUGUCAUGAUCCUACUAAACUCUUCACAUGUAGAUUUGUUAGUAGACCCAAAUAUAAUAUCAUCAACGUAAAUUUGACAUACAAACAAAUCAUUUUCAAGUGUUUUGGUAAAGAGUGUAGGAUCGGCCUUUCCGACUUUGAAUCCAUUAGUGAUAAGAAAAUCUCUAAGGCAUUCAUACCAUGCUCUUGGGGCUUGCUUGAGCCCAUAAAUCGCCUAUAGACAUGAUUAGGGUACUCACUAUCUUCAAAGCCGGGAGGUUGCUCAACAUAGACCUCUUCCUUGAUAGGUCCAUUGAGGAAGGCACUCUUCACGUCCAUUUGAUAAAGCUUGAAGCCAUGGUAAGUAGCAUAGGCCAAUAAUAUACGAAUUGACUCAAGCCUAGCUACGGGUGCAUAGGUUUCACCAAAAUCCAAACCUUCGACUAGAGAGUAUCCCUUGGCCACAAGUCGAGCUUUGUUCCUUGUCACCACACCAUGCUCAUCUUGCUUGUUGCGGAAGACCCACUUGGUUCCUACAACAUUUUGAUUAGGACGUGGAACCAAAUGCCAUACCUCGUUCCUAGUGAAGUUGUUGAGCUCCUCUUGCAUCGCCACCACCCAAUCCGAAUCUUGGAGUGCUUCCUCUACCCUGUGUGGCUCAAUAGAGAAAACAAAAGAGUAAUGUUCACAAAAAUGUGCAACACGAGAUCUAGUGGUUACCCCCUUAUGAAUGUCGCCGAGGAUGGUGUCGACGGGGUGAUCUCGUUGGAUUGCUUGGUGGACUCUUGGGUGUGGCGGCCUUGGUUCUUCAUCCUCCUUGUCUUGAUCAUUUGCAUCUCCCCCUUGAUUAUUGCCGUCAUCUUGAGGUGGCUCAUUUGCUUGAUCUUCUCCUUCAUCAACUUGAGCCUCAUCCUCAUUUUGAGUUGGUGGAGAUGCUUGCGUGGAGGAGGAUGGUUGAUCUUGUGCAUUUGGAGGCUCUUCGGAUUCCUUAGGACACACAUUCCCAAUGGACAUAUUCCUUAGCGCGAUGCACGGAGCUUCUUCAUUACCUAUCUCAUCAAGAUCAACUUGCUCUACUUGAGAGCCGUUAGUCUCAUCAAACACAACGUCACAAGAAACUUCAACUUGUCUAGAGCCCUUGUGUUUGAAUCAUAUCCUAGUAAAAAGCCUUCUACAGUCUUAGGAGCAAAUUUAGAUUUUCUACCUCUUUUAACAAGUAUAAAGCAUUUGCUACCAAAGACUCUAAAAUAUGAAAUAUUGGGCUUUUUACCGGUUAGGAGUUCAUAUGAUGUCUUCUUGAGGAUUCGGUGUAGAUAUAACCGGUUGAUGGCGUAGCAAGCGGUGUUGACCGCCUCGGCCCAAAACCGAUCCGAAGUCUUGUACUCAUCAAGCAUGGUUCUUGCCAUGUCCAAUAGAGUUCUAUUCUUCCUCUCCACUACACCAUUUUGUUGUGGCGUGUAGGGAGAGGAGAACUCAUGCUUGAUGCCCUCCUCCUCAAGGAAACUUUCGAUUUGUGAGUUCUUGAACUCCGUCCCGUUGUCGCUUCUUAUUUUCUUAAUCCUUAAGCCAAACUCGUUUUGAGCCCGUCUCAAGAAUCCCUUUAAUGUCUCUUGGGUAUGAGAUUUUUCCUGCAAAAAGAAUACCCAAGUGAAGCGAGAAUAAUCAUCCACAAUAACUAGACAGUACUUACUUCCGCCGAUGCUUAUGUAAGCUAUCGGGCCGAAUAGAUCCAUGUGUAGGAGCUCCAGUGGCCUGUCAGUCGUCAUGAUGUUCUUGUGUGGAUGAUGAGCACCAACUUGCUUCCCUGCUUGGCAUGCGCUACAGAUCCUGUCUUUCUCAAAAUGAACAUUUGUUAAUCCUAAAAUGUGCUCUCCUUUUAGAAGCUUAUGAAGAUUCUUCAUCCCAACAUGGGCUAGUCGACUGUGCCAGAGCCAACCCAUGUUAGUCUUAGCAAUUAAGCAAGUGUCGAGUUCAGCUCUAUCAAAAUCUACCAAGAAUAGCUGACCCUCUAACACUCCCUUAAAUGCUACUGAAUCAUCACUUCUUCUAAAGACAGUAACACUUACAUUAGUAAAAAGACAGUUGUAGCCCAUUUGACAUAAUUGCGAAACGGAAAGCAAAUUGUAAUCUAAGGAAUCUACAAGAAAAACAUUGGAAAUUAAAUGGUCAGGAGAUAUAGCAAUUUUACCCAAUCCUUUGACCAAACCUUGGUUUCCAUCCCCGAAUGUGAUAGCUCGUUGGGGAUCUUGGUUUUUCUCAUAGGAGGAGAACAUUUUCUUCUCCCCUGUCAUGUGGUUUGUGCACCCGCUGUCGAUGAUCCAACUUGAGCCCCCGGAUGCAUAAACCUACAAAACAAUUUUAGUUCUUGACUUUAGGUACCCAAAUGGUUUUGGGUCCUUUGGCAUUAGACACAAGAACUUUGGGUACCCAAACACAAGUCUUUGACCCCUUGUGCUUGCCCCCAACAUAUUUGGCAACUACCUUGCCGGAUUUGUUAGUUAACACAUAUGAUGCAUCAAAAGUUUUAAAUGAAAUGUCAUGAUCAUUUGAUGCACUAGGAGUUUUCUUCUUAGGCAACUUAGCACGGGUUGGUUGCCUAGAACUAGAUGUCUCACCCUUAUACAUAAAUGCAUGCUUAGGGCCAGAGUGAGACUUCCUAGAAUGAAUUCUCCUAAUUUUGCUCUCAGGAUAACCGGCAGGGUACAAAAUGUAACCCUCGUUAUCCUGAGGCAUGGGAGCCUUGCCCUUAACAAAGUUGGACAAUUUCUUAGGAGGGGCAUUAAGUUUGACAUUGCCUCCCUGUUGGAAGCCAAUGCCAUCCUUAAUGCCAGGGCGUCUCCCACUAUAGAGCAUGCUUCUAGCAAAUUUAAUUUUUUCAUUUUCUAAGUCAUGCUCAUUGAUUUUAGCAUUAAGUUGAGCUAUGUGAUCAUUUUGUUGUUUAAUUAAAGCCAUGUGAUCAUGAAUAGCAUCAACAUUAAUGUCUCUACAUCUAGUACAAAUGGAAGUAUGUUCAAUAGUAGAUGUAGUGGGUUUGCAAGAUUUUAAUUCUACAACCUUAGCAUGCAAUAUAUCAUUUUUACUUCUAAGGUCAGAAAUUGUAACAUUGCAAACAUCUAGUUCUUUAGCCUUAGUAAGCAUUUUUUCAUUCUCAAUCCUAAGGCUAGCAAGAGAAAUGUUCAAUUCUUCAAUUUUAGCAAGCAAAUCUACAUUAUCAUUGGGAAUUGAAACAUUACAAGCAUUUGAAUCAACCUUAGCAAUAAGUUUAGCUUUGUCAUUUCUAAGGUUGUCAAUAGUCUCAUGGCAAGUGCUUAGCUCACUAGAUAAUUUUUCGCACUUUUCUACUUCUAGAGCAUAAGCAUUUUUAACCUUAACAUGCUUUUUGUUUUCUUUAAUAAGGAAGUCCUCUUGAGAGUCCAAGAGAUCAUCCUUUUCAUGGAUAGCACUAAUUAAUUCAUUUAAUUUCUCCUUUUGUUGCAUGUUGAGGUUAGCAAAAAGAGUACGCAAAUUAUCUUCCUCAUCACUAGCAUUAUCAUCGCUAGAAGACUCAUAUCUAGUGGAGGAUUUGGAUUUAACCUUCUUCUUUUUGCUGUCCUUUGCCAUGAGGCACUUGUGGCCGACGUUGGGGAAGAGAAGUCCCUUGGUGACGACGAUGUUGGUGGCGUCCUCAUCAGAGGAGGAGUCGCUAGAGCUUUCGUCGGAGUCCCACUCACGACAAACAUGGUCAUCACCGCCCUUCUUCUUGUAGUAUCUCUUCUUUUCCUUUCUUCUCCCCUUCUUGUCGUCGCCCCUGUCACUGUCACUAGAUAGUGGACAUUUUGCAAUAAAAUGACCGGGCUUACCAUAUUUGUAGCAAACUUUCUUGGAGUGGGGCUUGUAGUCUUUCCCCCUCCUUUGCUUGAGGAUUUGGCGGAAGCUCUUGAUGACAAGCGCCAUUUCCUCGUUGUCGAGCUUUGAGGCGUCGAUUGGUUGUCUACUCGGUGUAGACUCCUCCUUCUUCUCCUCCGUUGCCUUGAAUGCAACUGGUUGAGCUUCGGAUGUGGAGUGAUCAUCUAGCUCAUUGAUUUUCUUUGAGCCCUUGAUCAUAUACUCAAAGCUCACAAAAUUCCCGAUUACUUCCUCGGGAGUCAUUAGUGUAUAUCUAGGAUUACCACGAAUUAAUUGAACUUGAGUAGGGUUAAGGAAAAUAAGUGAUCUAAGAAUAACCUUAACCAUCUCGUGGUCAUCCCACUUUUUGCUCCCGAGGUUGCGCACUUGGUUCACCAAUGUUUUGAGCCGGUUGUACAUGUCUUGUGGCUCUUCUCCUUUGCGAAGCCGGAAGCGACCGAGCUCCCCCUCGAUCGUCUCCCGCUUGGUGAUCUUGGUUAGCUCAUCUCCCUCGUGCGCGGUCUUGAGCACGUCCCAAACUUCCUUGGCGCUCUUUAAUCCUUGCACCUUGUUAUACUCCUCUCGACUUAGAGAGGUGAUGAGUAUAGUUGUGGCUUGGGAGUUGAAGUGCUCGAUUUGGGCCACCUCGUCCUCAUCAAAAUCCUCAUCCCCUACGGAUGGUACCUGUACACCAAACUCAACAACAUCCCAUAUACUUUUGUGGAGUGAGGUUAGGUGAAACCGCAUUAAAUCACUCCACCUAGCAUAAUCUUCAACAUCAAAAGUUGGUGGUUUGCCUAAUGGGACGGAAAGUAAAGGCGUAUGUUUAGGAAUGCGAGGGUAGCGUAGGGGAAUCUUACUAAACUUCUUGCGCUCAUGGCGCUUAGAAGUUACGGAGGGCGCGUCGGAGCCGGAUGUGGAAGGUGAUGAAGUAUCGGUCUCGUAGUAGACCACCUUCCUCAUCUUCUUUUUCUUGUCACCACUCCGAUGUGACUUGUGGGAGGAGGCUUUCUUCUCCUUCCCUUUCCCCUUUUUGCGGGACUCUUCCGAUGAAGCCUUCCUGUGGCUUGUAGUGGGCUUGUCGUCGGUCUCCAUCUCCUUCUUGGCGAGUUCUCCCGACAUCACUUUGAGCGGUUAGGCUCAAAUGAAGCACCGGGCUCCGAUAUCAAUUGAAAGUCGCCUAGAGGGGGGGUGAAUAGGCCGAAACUGAAAUUUACAAAGUUAAUCACAACUACAAGCCGGGUUAGCGUUAGAAAUAUAAUCGAGUCCGCGAGAGAGAGUGAAAAACAAAUCGCAAGCGAAUAAGGAGUGUGACACGUGGAUUUGUUUUACCGAGGUUCAGUUCUCGCAAACCUACUCCCCGUUGAGGAGGCCACAAAGGUCGGGUCUUUUUCAACCCCUUCCCUCUCUCAAACGGUCCCUCGGACCGAGUGAGCUUUCUCUUCUCAAAUCAACCGGGAACAAAACUUCCCCGCAAGGACCACCACACAAUUGGUGUCUCUUGCCUUGGUUACAAGUGAGUAUUGAUCUCAAGAAAGAAUGAGAAAGAAGAAAGCAAUCCAAGCACAAGAGCUCAAAAGAACACAACAAAUCACUCUCAGUUAACACUAAAGCUUUUGUGGAAUUGGGAGAGGAUUUGAUCACUUGGGUGUGUCUUGUAUUGAAUGUCUAGCUCUUGUAAGUGGUUGGAAGGUUGAAAACUUGGAUGACUUGAAUGUGGGGUGGUUGGGGGUAUUAAUAACCCCAACCACCAAACUAGCCGUUUGGUGGAGGCUGCUGUCGCAUGGCGCACCGGACAGUGUCCGGUGCGCCAGCCACGUCACCAGGUCGUUGGGUUCCGACCGUUGGAGCUCUGAAUAAUGGGCCCGCCUGGAUGUCCGGUGGCACACCGGACAUGUACUGUAGAGUGUCCGGUGCGCCACUUCGCGCGUGCCUGACUUCUGCGCGCUCUGGCGCGCAUUAAUUGCUUCUGCAGGUGACCGUUGGCGUGAAGUAGUCAUUGCUCCGCUGGCUCACCGGACAGUCCGGUGUUACACCGGACAUGUCCGGUGAAUUAUAGCAGAGCGGAGUCCCGAAGCUGGCGAGUUCAGAGUCGCUCUCCUCUGGAGCACCGGACACUGUCCGGUGGAGCACCGGACAGUCCGGUGAAUUAUAGCGAAGCGCCUCUGAAAAUUCCCGAAGGUGAAGAGUUUGGCUUGGAGUUCCCUGGUGCACCGGACACUGUCCGGUGGCACACCGGACAGUUCGGUGCGCCAGACCAGGACAGCCUUCGGUUAUCCCUUGCUCUCUUUGUUGAACCCAAUUCUUGGUCUUUUUAUUGGCUAAGUGUGAACCUUUGGCACCUGUAUAACUUAUAGACUAGAACAAACUAGUUAGUCCAAUUAUUUGUGUUGGGCAAUUCAACCACCAAAAUCAUUUAGGAAAUAGGUGUAAGCCUAAUUCCCUUUCACCUUCGUCUUCCAAAGGUCCUCAAAAACACGACUAACAUGCUUUCCAAGUAUAAUAUAUUGUCACAGGAACCUUCGGCCUUGAGAUGAAGGUGUUCACGCUGACUUGUAAUCGCUCGCACGUCACUCUUGGACUUUUACCUUCUGUCGAGCCGAAGGUAUGCCCUUCAUAACCUUCGUCUGAAGAUCAUUAUAACCUAAAGGAGAUAAUGCUUCGAAGGACGAAGGCCUUUAACCAUUAACAUUUGUGUUGCCUUGUUCUUAACUCAUAGCAUUUGAGAACAAGUCCUCAACAUUGGCGCCCACCUCCGGUGAACUCAUUUGACCACCUUCGGCAAGCUGUGACCUUCGUCAUGCCGCCGAAGAAAUCUCCAGCGCUGGGGGCUGCACUGCAACCACUUGACGUCAACCAAGAAACACUACGUGAAGCUAGAAGCCAAAAAAGGAAGGCUACAGGUCCAGAGGAAGAAGGAGAAGAUGCUUCGUCUUGCCAAUCUUUAGAAGAAGAUUGAUGAGGCCGCUGAGGAAAUGCGUCAUCUUACCCAAGAUGACCAGGACCGAAGACCUCAACACAGAGAGCUUCGUCAAUACAAUUCCUACAAUGAUGAUGAAUGGUAUGAUGAUUUCCAUCAUGGAAAUUUUGCUUUUGAUGAUGCUUCUUCUCUGUCAGCAGAACUGUAGGCUACCCCAUGGCCCCCAUCAUACAAGCCACCCCAGCUCCCUAUGUAUGAUGGACACUCAGACCCAAAGCAAUUUCUAAUGAGCUACGAAGCAACCAUAUCUUCAUAUGGGCAACACAGCAGUCAUGGCGAAAUCCUUCGUCAUGGCAGUAAAAAAUGUCGCACAAACCUGGUACUCUUCUCUCCGACCAGGAACAAUCAAAUCAUGGCAGAAGAUGAAGGACAUGUUGAUCACCAGUUUCCAAGGGUUUCAGACGAAGCCGAUCACUGCUCAGGCUUUGUUCUAGUGCACGCAAGACCACGAAGAAUACCUCCAGGCGUAUGUCCGAAGGUUCUUGCGUCUGAGAGCACAAGCGCCCACACUGCCUAAUGAAAUUGUCAUUGAGGCCAUGAUCAAAGGGCUUCGGCCAGGACCUACGGCUCAAUAUUUUGCCAGGAAACCCCCCUCAGACCCUGGAGAAGCUCCUUCAGAAGAUGGAUGAAUACAUCCGGGCUGAUAAUGACUUCCGCCAGAGAAGGGAAGAAGCCUACAUGUUUUCUGAAAUGACUAGGGGCUUCGGAGGAAGAAUCCACCCUAGGCAUGUCAGAUCAAUCCAUAACUCCAGCCAAAGUGAUGACAGAGGAAGCCUGCUUCAAAGGCCACAACACAGCUCUCAAUCCUCAGGGCAACAACAAAGUUCUUUCCGGCCACCAAACCCAAGGGGCAGAGGCGGCAGGAACUUUGAAGGAAGGUACGAGGAUCAGCCUAGAAAACUUUAUUGCUUAUUCUAUGGUGAAGACAAAAGGAGAUUGCCGAAGCUGAGGCACGGCAGAAUCAGCCGAAGCAGGUUCUACAUACUGCUUCAUGCUACUCUCCCUACGUACCAGAAUACGUAGGUAAUCAACAACCUGCGACUUCUGUUGCUUCGACAAGUCAUUCUCAAGCUUCCUGGGCCUAGCUCCCGUUACCACCACCAUUACCACCUACUCACACCCGAAGCCAGCAGCCAGAAGGGCACACACGUGCACAGCAGCAGAGUGAUUUUCGGGAGGAAUUCGAAGCUCGUACAGUCAACAGUACUGUGCCGGAAUCGAAGCAUAUCUGCUGAAGAAUAUCCUGCUCUUAAUGUACCUUUAUCAUUUAUGCCAUUUUAUUUUUUGUAUGAGAAACAAGUAACGAAGGACUAAAUUUCGAUUUCUUGUAAUAAUUGUGCUUGCAUCAAUGAGUAAAAUAUGCCUUCCUCACAGUCUUCUGAAGCUUGAAAAUCGUUCCUAAGGGAGCGCAGAGUAAAUUCCGAAGCUGCAAAAAAUCGUUCCUAAGGGAGCGCAGAGUAAAUUCCGAAGCUGCAAAAAGUCGUUCCUAAGGGAGCGCAGCGUAAGUUUUCUGCUCAAAAGUCGUUCCUAAGGGAAUGCAGAGCCAAAAAUUAAGUUCCGAAGUUGCAAAAAAGUCGUUCCUAAGGGAGCGCAACGUAAGUUUUCUGCUCAAAAGUCGUUUCUAAGGGAAUGCAGAGCCAAAUACCACCGAAAUAUAAGGUGAAGAAGCUCAAAAGUCGUUCCUAAGGGGACGCAGAGCUUAAAUGGCACCGAAAUAGAAGGUGAAGAAGCUCAAAAGUCAUUCCUAAGGGAUUGAAAGGGAAAUGUGCCUUUGGGCCAUUUCUAAGUAUUUUGGUGAUUGAGUGCAAACACAAGUGCUUAAAUGUGAAAAUGUGCCCAUGGUUGAACAAAGUGCAAAUCACAAGUAAAGGUAUGUUUCUAAGCCUUAAUACAUUAGUUUUGUGUACUAAUAUCUUUUCUAAGUGUUAGAAACAGGAAGAAGCAGAAAAGAAAAGAAGCGGAAGAGUGGCUGUGUACAGCCAAAGGCUGUUUCGGGCUGGGGCACCGGACUGUCCGGUGUGCACCGGACAGUGUCCGGUGCGCCAGACCAGCGCGGGGCAAACCAGCCGCUCUCGGGUUUUUCUCCGGCGACUUCGGCUAAAAUUCACCGGACUGUCCGGUGUGCACCGGAUUGUCCGGUGAGCCAACGGUCGGCCAGGCCAACGGUCGGCCACGCGAUCGGCGCGCGACACGUGGCCGAGCCAACGGUCGAAAAGAGGCACCGGACUGUCCGGUGUGCACCGGACUGUCCGGUGUGCACCGGACAUGUCCGGUGCGCCAACUGUGCGCAGAUCUGCAUCAGAAAGCAACGGUCGGAUGAGCUGUUUUAGGAAACAAAUCGGGCACCGGACAGUGUCCGGUGUGCACCGGACUGUCCGGUGCACCACGAGACAGAAGGCAAAGAUGGCCUUCCAGAUUUGUUCCCAACGGCUCCUAGCUGCCUUGGGGCUAUAAAAGGGACCCCUUGGCGCAUGGAGGAGCACAUCAAGCAACCUUAGAGCAAUCUUGAUCAUCCACACUCAGUCUUUGCGCAUUUGUUUGUCAUUCUAAGUGAUUCGAGCUCCGUUCUAGUGAGAAUUUGGAGAUAGUCUUUUGAGCUCGAUUCUUGGCCGUGUGUGUGCGCAAUUUGCUGUGGAUUUGAGUGUGUUGCUAAUCCCUCCCUUGCUCCGUGAUUCUCUGUGAACUUCUUUUGUAAGGGCGAGAGGCUCCAAGUUGUGGAGAUUCCUCGCAAACGGGAUUGAGAAAAGAAAAGCAAGAACACCGUGGCAUUCAAGUUGAUCAUUGGAUCACUUGAGAGGAGUUGAGUGCAACUCUCGUCCGUUGGGACGCCACAACAUGGAGUAGGCAAGUUUUGUACUUGGCCGAACCACGGGAUAACCACCGUGUCAUCUCUGUGAUUGAUUUCUUGUGGUUAUUGUGUUUUGACUCCACUCUAGCCACUUGGCCAUAAUUGUGCUAACACUUAACAAGUUUUUGUGGCUUAAGUUUUGAAGUUUUACAGGAUCACCUAUUCACCCCCCCCCCCCUCUAGGUGCUCUCAAUUGGUAUCGGAGCCGUUCUCUUCAAGAAAGGGACUAACCGCCCGAAGAGAUGGAUCCUAAGGGGAAGGGAAUCGUGAUCAACGAUAAGGAGAAGGAGUCUUUCGUCAACGAGCCAAAGGAUGACAAGUCCAACGACUCUGGCUCGGGUCAUAGACGAAAAGAUGGGAAGAAGAAGAAGACAAGGCGCAUCAAGGAGAUCGUCUACUACGACAGCGACGAAUCUUCAUCUUCCCAAAAGGACGACGACCACAACGACUACGAGAAAAGAAAACCGGUUAAUUCGAACUUUUCUUUUGACUAUUCUCGUAUUCCACAAAGUUCAAAUUCGCAUUUGCUCCCCAUUCCACUUGGCAAGCCUCCUCACUUUGAUGGAGAGGACUACGGAUUUUGGAGCCACAAAAUGCGUACUCACUUGUUCUCUCUCCAUCCUAGCAUAUGGGAGAUUGUAGAGAGUGGAAUGCACUUUGAUAGUACGGAUAGCCCUAUGUUUAUUAAUGAACAAAUUCAUAAAAAUGCACAAGCUACUACUGUGUUGCUAGCUUCCUUGUGCAGGGACGAGUACAAUAAGGUGAGCGGCUUGGAUAAUGCCAAGCAGAUUUGGGACACCCUCAAGAUCUCUCAUGAGGGGAAUGAUGUCACCUUACUCACUAAGAUGGAGUUGGUGGAAGGCGAGCUUGGACGGUUCGCGAUGAUAAGGGGCGAGGAGCCAACUCAGACAUACAACCGGCUCAAGACUCUUAUCAACAAAAUAAGGAGCUACGGAAGCACGCGAUGGACGGACCACGACGUCGUCCGACUAAUGCUCAGGUCCUUUACCGUUCUUGAUCCUCAUUUGGUGAAUAAUAUUCGUGAGAAUCCCAGGUACACCAAAAUGUCGCCCGAAGAAGUCCUAGGAAAAUUCGUCAGCGGGCGGAUGAUGAUCAAGGAGGCAAGGUAUGUGGACGACGCCUUGAAUGGACCGAUCAACGAGCCGCAACCUCUUGCUCUCAAAGCCACAAGGAGCAAGGAGGCGCUACCCAGCAAGGUGGCGCAAAUUGAGGCGGCCGGUCUUAAUGAUGAAGAAAUGGCCCUCAUCAUCAAAAGAUUCAAGACGGUGCUAAAGGGUCGAAAUGGACAGCCGAGCAAGACUAAGACCAAGGGAAAGCGAUCAUGCUUCAAAUGCGGUAAGCUUGGUCAUUUUAUUGCUAACUGUCCGGAUAAUGAAAGUGACCAGGAAAAGGGGAACAAAAGAGAGAAGAAGAAGCACUACAAGAAGGCCAAGGGCGAAGCACAUAUCGGAAAGGAGUGGGAUUCGGACUGCUCCUCCUCCGACUCCGACAAUGAAGGACUCGCCGCCACCGCCUUCAACAAGUCAUCUCUCUUCCCCAACGAGCGUCAUACCUGCCUUAUGGCAAGAGAGAAGAAGGUAAGUACUCGAGAUACCACUUAUGCUUCUUCUAGUAAUGAUGAAUCUAGUGAUGAAGAUGAAAUUGAUUAUUCAUGCUUAUUUAAAGGUCUAGAUAGAACCAAGGUAGACAAAAUUAAUGAAUUGAUUGAUGCCUUGAAUGAUAAGAAUAUACUUGUAGAAAAGCAAGAGGACCUUUUGUAUGAAGAGCAUGACAAAUAUGUAGAGGCACAAAAAUCUCUUGCCUUAGAAAUUAAGAGAAAUGAAAUGCUUUCUUAUGAGUUGUCUACAUGUCAUGAAACCAUUUCUUCUUUAAAAAGUGUUAAUAAUGAUUUAAAUGCUAAAUUAGAAGUAGCAAAUAAAUCCAACUCUUGUGUAGAAAAUGUUGUAACAUGCACUAGGUGUAAAGAUAUUAACAUUGAUGCUUUUAGUGAACACCUAGCUUGCAUUUCUAAAUUAAAUGAAGAGGUAGCUAGUCUUAAUUCCCAACUUAAGACUAGCAAAAGUGAUUUUGAGAAGCUAAAAUUUGCAAGGGAUGCCUACACGAUUGGUAGACACCCCUCAAUUAAGGAUGGACUUGGUUUCAAGAGAGAAGCCAAGAACUUAACAAGCCAUAAGGCUCCCAUUCCCGCCAAGGAGAAAGGGAAGGCCCCUAUGGCUAGUAGUGUGCAAAAGAACCAUGCUUUUAUGUAUCAUGAUAGGAGACAAACUAGAAAUGCUUAUAGGAGUUAUGAUGCUUAUGAUGAUUUUGACUCUCAUGCCAUGUUUGCUUCUAGUUCUUCCUAUAUGCAUGGUAGAAAAAUGUCUAGGAGAAAUGUUAUUCAUCAUGUGCCUAGAAAGAAUGUUAUUCAUGCUUCCAGGAAAGUAGUGAAUGAACCUUCUACAAUCUAUUGUGCUUUAAAUGCUUCCUUUGCUAUUUGUAGAAAGGAUAAGAAAAUAGUUGCUAGGAAGUUAGGGGCAAGAUGCAAGGGAGACAAAACUUGCAUUUGGGUCCCUAAGGAUAUUUGCACUAACCUUGUAGGACCCAACAUGAGUUGGGUACCUAAGACCCAAGCCUAAAUUUGCCUUGCAGGUUUAUGCAUCCGGGGGUUCAAGCUGGAUUAUAGACAGCGGAUGCACAAACCAUAUGACGGGGGAGAAGAAGAUGUUCACCUCCUACGUCAAGAAUAAGGAUUCCCAAGAUUCAAUUAUAUUCGGUGAUGGGAAUCAAGGCAAGGUAAAAGGGUUAGGUAAAAUUGCAAUUUCUAAUGAGCACUCAAUUUCUAAUGUGUUUUUAGUUGAGUCUUUGGGAUAUAAUUUAUUAUCUGUAAGUCAAUUAUGCAAUAUGGGAUAUAAUUGUCUUUUUACAAAUGUAGAUGUGUCUGUCUUUAGAAGAAGUGAUGGUUCACUAGCUUUUAAGGGUGUAUUAGACGGCAAACUUUAUUUAGUUGAUUUUGCAAAAGAAGAGGCCGGUCUAGAUGCAUGCUUAAUAGCUAAGACUAGCAUGGGCUGGCUGUGGCAUCGCCGCUUAGCACAUGUGGGGAUGAAGAACCUCCAUAAGCUUCUAAAGGGAGAACACGUGAUAGGUCUAACUAACGUUCAAUUCGAAAAAGAUAGACCUUGUGCAGCUUGUCAAGCAGGUAAACAAGUGGGAGGAGCACAUCACAGCAAGAAUGUGAUGACCACUUCAAGACCCCUGGAGCUGCUGCAUAUGGACCUCUUCGGACCCGUCGCCUAUCUGAGCAUAGGAGGGAGUAAGUAUGGUCUAGUUAUUGUUGAUGACUUUUCCCGCUUCACUUGGGUGUUCUUUUUGCAGGAUAAGUCUGAAACCCAAGGCACCCUCAAGCGCUUCCUCAAGAGAGCUCAAAAUGAGUUUGAGCUCAAGGUGAAGAAGAUAAGGAGCGACAACGGGUCCGAGUUCAAGAACCUUCAAGUGGAGGAGUUCCUUGAAGAGGAAGGGAUCAAGCACGAGUUCUCCGCUCCCUACACACCACAGCAAAAUGGUGUGGUAGAGAGGAAGAACAGGACGCUCAUCGACAUGGCGAGGACGAUGCUAGGAGAGUUCAAGACCCCCGAGUACUUUUGGACGGAAGCCGUGAACACAGCUUGCCACGCCAUCAACAGGGUCUACCUUCAUCGCCUCCUCAAGAAGACGUCGUAUGAGCUACUAACCGGUAACAAACCCAAUGUAUCCUACUUUCGUGUAUUUGGGAGCAAGUGCUACAUUCUAGUGAAGAAGGGUAGAAAUUCUAAAUUUGCUCCCAAAGCUGUAGAAGGGUUUUUGUUAGGUUAUGACUCAAAUACAAAGGCGUAUAGAGUCUUCAACAAAUCAUCGGGUUUGGUUGAAGUCUCUAGCGACGUUGUAUUUGAUGAGACUAAUGGCUCUCCAAGAGAGCAAGUUGUUGAUUGUGAUGAUGUAGAUGAAGAAGAUGUUCCGACGGCCGCUAUACGAACCAUGGCGAUUGGAGACGUUCGGCCACAGGAACAAGAUGAACGAGAUCAACCUUCUUCCUCAAUUAUGGUGCAUCCCCCAACUCAAGACGAUGAACAGGUUCAUCAACAGGAGGCGUAUGGUCAAGGGGGAGCACAAGAUAAUCAUGUGAUGGAGGAAGAAGCGGAACCGGCACCUCCAACCCAAGUUCGAGCGAUGAUUCAAAGGGAUCAUCCCGUCGACCAAAUUCUGGGUGACAUUAGCAAGGGAGUAACUACUCGAUCUCGACUAGCUAAUUUUUGUGAGCAUUACUCCUUUGUCUCUUCUAUUGAGCCUUUCAGGGUAGAGGAGGCCUUGCUAGAUCCGGACUGGGUGUUGGCCAUGCAGGAGGAGCUCAACAACUUCAAAAGGAAUGAAGUUUGGACACUGGUGCCUCGUCCGAAGCAAAAUGUUGUGGGAACCAAGUGGGUGUUCCGCAACAAACAGGACGAGCAUGGGGUGGUGACGAGAAACAAGGCUCGACUUGUGGCAAAAGGUUAUGCCCAAGUCGCAGGUUUGGAUUUCGAGGAGACCUUUGCUCCUGUGGCUAGGCUAGAAUCAAUUCGUAUCUUGCUAGCAUAUGCCGCUCAUCAUUCUUUCAGGUUGUACCAAAUGGAUGUGAAGAGCGCUUUCCUCAACGGGCCAAUCAAGGAGGAGGUGUACGUGGAGCAACCCCCUGGCUUCGAGGAUGAACGGUACCCCGACCAUGUGUGUAAGCUCUCUAAGGCGCUCUAUGGACUUAAGCAAGCCCCAAGAGCAUGGUAUGAAUGCCUUAGAGACUUUCUAAUUGUUAAUGCUUUCAAGGUUGGGAAAGCCGAUCCAACUCUUUUUACAAAGACAUGUGAUGGUGAUUUGUUUGUGUGCCAAAUUUAUGUCGAUGACAUAAUAUUUGGUUCUACUAACCAAAAGUCUUGUGAAGAGUUUAGCAGGGUGAUGACGCAGAAAUUUGAGAUGUCGAUGAUGGGCGAGUUGAACUACUUCCUUGGGUUCCAAGUGAAGCAACUCAAGGAAGGCACCUUCAUCUCCCAAACGAAGUACACGCAAGAUCUGCUAAAGCGGUUUGGGAUGAAGGACGCCAAGCCCGCAAAGACUCCGAUGGGAACCGACGGACACACCGACCUCAACAAAGGAGGUAAGUCUGUUGAUCAAAAAGCAUACCGGUCAAUGAUAGGUUCUCUGCUUUAUUUAUGUGCUAGUAGACCGGAUAUUAUGCUUAGCGUAUGCAUGUGUGCUAGAUUUCAAUCUGAUCCUAAGGAGUGUCACUUAGUGGCGGUGAAGCGAAUUCUGAGAUAUUUAGUUGCUACGCCUUCCUUCGGGCUCUGGUAUCCAAAGGGGUCUACCUUUGACUUGGUUGGAUACUCAGACUCCGACUAUGCUGGAUGUAAGGUCGAUAGGAAGAGUACAUCGGGGACGUGCCAAUUCUUAGGAAGGUCCCUGGUGUCAUGGAACUCUAAGAAACAAACAUCCGUUGCCCUAUCCACCGCUGAGGCCGAGUACGUUGCCGCAGGACAGUGUUGCGCGCAACUACUUUGGAUGAGGCAAACCCUCAGGGACUUUGGCUACAAUCUGAGCAAAGUCCCACUCCUAUGUGAUAAUGAGAGUGCUAUCCGAAUGGCGGAAAAUUCUGUUGAGCACAGCCGCACAAAGCACAUAGACAUCCGGCAUCACUUUUUGAGAGACCACCAGCAAAAGGGGGAUAUCGAAGUGUUUCAUGUUAGCUCCGAGAACCAGCUAGCCGAUAUCUUUACCAAGCCUCUAGAUGAGAAGACCUUUUGCAGGCUGCGUAGUGAGCUAAAUGUCUUAGAUUCGCGGAACUUGGAUUGAAUUGUAGCAUACAUGUGUUUAUGCCUUUGAUCAUGUUCAUUCUGCAUUUUGUUGCUUAUUAUGGUGCUCAAGUUGUACAAACACUCCCUGGACCUCACAAGUCCGUUGCAAAGUGAUGCACAUGUUUAGGGGGAGAUGUGUUACAACUUGACUCUUUGAGACUAACCAUAUGCUUGAGUUUGUUUGACUUAGUCUCCAAGGAGAAUUGAAAGGGAAAAGGUGGACUUGAACCAUGAAAGACUUCCACUGCAGUCCGAUGAGAGGGUAACUAAUUCCAAGUUCAUCUCAUAAACUCUUAUUGCCAUUUGAUCUUAAUUGAAGAUUUUUGUGAGGCAAUGGGGUUAAAAGGGCCAAGAUUGAUCCCGUUUUGGUGCUUGAUGCCAAAGGGGGAGAAAAUAAAGGCCAAAGCAAUAAAUGGAUCAGCUACCACUUGAGAGAUUUUGAAAAUAGUAGAAUAGAGUUUUUGUUUUGUCAAAACUCUCUUAGUGUCUCUUUUGUCAAAAGUUGGUUUCUUGUGGGGAGAAGUAUUGAUUAUGGGACUUAGGGGGAGUUUUUGAAAUCUUUGAUCAAUCUCUUUUGAAAUGACUCUCUUUAUGCUUCAACAUGUGUGUUUGACUUAGAGAUAGAGAUUUGAGUUUGAUUUGCAAAAACAAACCAAGUGGUGGCAAAAGAUGAUCCAUAUAUGCCAAAAUUGGAUAAAACUCAAAGUUAGUUCUUAUUUGAAGUGAUUUUGCACUUGUUCUAGUUGCCUUAUGUUGUGUUGGCAUAAAUCACCAAAAAGGGGGAGAUUGAAAGGGAAAUGUGCCUUUGGGCCAUUUCUAAGUAUUUUGGUGAUUGAGUGCAAACACAAGUGCUUAAAUGUGAAAAUGUGCCCAUGGUUGAACAAAGUGCAAAUCACAAGUAAAGGUAUGUUUCUAAGCCUUAAUACAUUAGUUUUGUGUACUAAUAUCUUUUCUAAGUGUUAGAAACAGGAAGAAGCAGAAAAGAAAAGAAGUGGAAGAGUGGCUGUGUACAGCCAAAGGCUGUUUCGGGCUGGGGCACCGGACUGUCCGGUGUGCACCGGACAGUGUCCGGUGCGCCAGACCAGCGCGGGGCAAACCAGCCGCUCUCGGGUUUUUCUCCGGCGACUUCGGCUAAAAUUCACCGGACUGUCCGGUGUGCACCGGACUGUCCGGUGAGCCAACGGUCGGCCACGCGAUCGGCGCGCGACACGUGGCCGAGCCAACGGUCGAAAAGAGGCACCGGACUGUCCGGUGUGCACCGGACAUGUCCGGUGCGCCAACUGUGCACAGAUCUGCAUCAGAAAGCAACGGUCGGAUGAGCUGUUUUAGGAAACAAAUCGGGCACCGGACAGUGUCCGGUGUGCACCGGACUGUCCGGUGCACCACGAGACAGAAGGCAAAGAUGGCCUUCCAGAUUUGUUCCCAACGGCUCCUAGCUGCCUUGGGGCUAUAAAAGGGACCCCUUGGCGCAUGGAGGAGCACAUCAAGCAACCUUAGAGCAAUCUUGAUCAUCCACACUCAGUCUUUGCGCAUUUGUUUGUCAUUCUAAGUGAUUCGAGCUCCGUUCUAGUGAGAAUUUGGAGAUAGUCUUUUGAGCUCGAUUCUUGGCCGUGUGUGUGCGCAAUUUGCUGUGGAUUUGAGUGUGUUGCUAAUCCCUCCCUUGCUCCGUGAUUCUCUGUGAACUUCUUUUGUAAGGGCGAGAGGCUCCAAGUUGUGGAGAUUCCUCGCAAACGGGAUUGAGAAAAGAAAAGCAAGAACACCGUGGCAUUCAAGUUGAUCAUUGGAUCACUUGAGAGGAGUUGAGUGCAACUCUCGUCCGUUGGGACGCCACAACGUGGAGUAGGCAAGUUUUGUACUUGGCCGAACCACGGGAUAACCACCGUGUCAUCUCUGUGAUUGAUUUCUUGUGGUUAUUGUGUUUUGACUCCACUCUAGCCACUUGGCCAUAAUUGUGCUAACACUUAACAAGUUUUUGUGGCUUAAGUUUUGAAGUUUUACAGGAUCACCUAUUCACCCCCCCCUCUAGGUGCUCUCAGGGAUGCAGAGCUUAAAAGACUCAAAAGACGUUCCUAAGGGGAUGCAGAGUCUUGUGUGUUCUAGUGUGGGCACAUGUGUGUGUCUUCGGCAUCCCCAUCAUUUUGCAUCAUAUCAUCAUAUCAUUCCGCAUAACAUUACAUCAUACAUCAUAUCGCAUCAACAACAAGAAAGAAUGAAUACGAAGCAAAUCCUCGGCAAUACUUUGUUAAAAGAAAAUGUAUGGAGGCACGAAGCAAACUUCGGGAAAUACGUUUUUAUCGGACUUGCCAAAGAAGGGGCCUCUUUCUUUACGAAGCAUGAAAAGAAGGGAAGGUGUUUUUUCGCCGAAGGCUCAAAAAACGGUAUGUGCGUAAAUUUCAUGCAUCGUGAAGAAACAUGUUACAGUAAUUUACAUGUCUGAUUAAUUGUUCUAUACACCAAAUAUUACGUACUGUCAUUACAAUAAGGUCUAAUCUUCCCUAAGUAUUUUUUCCGCGGCUUCGUUCAAUAGCUUGUCAACGACUUCGUCGACAAUGGAGUUAGCAACGCUUAUUACAUCCAGUGCUUCCUUCAUGUCUGGAUCAAGCAGGGGGUUGUAUGGCUCCGGCAGCGGUGACAGUUCAGCUGUAGUAGGCAAACUAUUAGUUCGAAGCCAUAAAGUAAGUAUGGAAGCCAAAAUUCAAAAACAAUACCUAUGCGCCUUUCGCGUUCAGUUGCUUCUUCAGCUCGCUUAGCUUCUUCUCGGGCGUCAUGGGUGUCUUUUUCAUUCUUCUUUAUAAUUUUGUUGGCCAAUUCUCGGCCACCGUUCACCCAGACAUCAGAAUAAAAUUUUCCGCCCACCAAAGUAACUUCGGUUGAAGGGUCUUUUGUGUCGUCUAUGGAGAAGGCAGCUUCGGCCUGGGCUAUAGCUUUAACAUGAUCGCAUCCAGCCUUCUCUAGAACAGUCACAAUUCCCCGAGCGCUGGAGAAAGCACAGAUAUCCCCACGAUCGCUCAGGAUCUCCUCGAAAGCUUCGGCUUCCCGCUUAUCCACUCAAUAACGCCCUCGGGGUCGCCUCGAAUAAAAUUUUCCUCAGAAGAAUAAGCACCCACUUUGGAACAGCUAGUUUUCAAUUUAUUCACGCAAUCCAAGGAUUUUUCAAAGCAUCUUUCCUUAGAUUCGUGAAGCUCCUCAACAUUUUUCUCUAUUUUAGUCUUCCAUCAUUCACUAAUUUCUUGGCUAGCCUUUGCGAGCGCACAAUUUUCAUUGGCUUUGGCAAGUUUUUUAGAAGAUCUUCAACUUCGGCUUUAUAAGCUUCGGAUUGAGUAUUAAAUUUUGCUUCAUCUUCUUUUGCUUUAUCCACCAAUGAAAGUAGAAUUCUGUCUUUCUCCAUGGCUUCGUUUCUCAGCCUGAUGACCUCUGAUCGAAGGUUGCUGAGAGCUAUAGUGCAGCUCUCGUCUUCGGCGUUCUUUUGCGCCCUCAGGGCAUUGCUAAGGAUUAAGCCCUGCAAGAAAGAAUAAAGGAUUAACGUGAGAAUAAAAGACUUCAUUUCCAAGUCCAUAAGCUCCAAAGUUCACUUCUGUACCUUCAGACUGUUGUAUGCGAGGCUGUCCGCGAGGUCAGCCUUCGUCAUGGCACAGAGGCCAGCUUCGAGCUUCGAAAAUCCCAUACUUUUGGCCAUCUCCCGGCAGACGGAUAACUCUUUGUUGUCCGGGAAGCAGUACAGGAAAUCAACUUCGUCUGUGUCGUUAAACACUAAGGCCCCUUCGGGUACUUCAGCUCCCGAGCAUAGUGUUUGGCUUCAAAAACUUCUUCUUCGGAUAAUCUUUUUCCCGAAGCAUGUCGAAUAAUAUAGUCAAGUUCUUCGGAUGGUGCUUCGGGAGCAGGGGAUUUGGCUUCUUUGGCCACAUUUUUCUCGAGAGCUACGCUAAUAUCUGGAGAUUCUUCUUUGGCCUUCUGCUCAGUUGCGGCAAGCUUCGUCUCAGCAGGCACUGAGGGCCCAGCUUCGGUUUCCGUAUGAGCUGUAACAGCUUCGGCAACUUUCUUCACAGGAGCGGGAGUCAGCGCUCUUGUUGUCUCCACAACAACGUCUAGCAUGCUGGCCAUUCUCCUCCUCUUGAGAGUUGUGGCGGGAGCCUUUGUCACCUUCGGCAGUUCUGCCUCUGUCGGAGGACUCAGAAUUUUUGGCAGCACCACUGUUUUUUCCAACUCUGGCUCUUUGGCCGCAUCAUCUUUGGCUUCGGCUGACCCGACUAUAGGCACCUUCGGCAUUACAAUCGAUCCUUCAGCGCCCCGAACUGCGGGAGCAGCUUGUUUCGCUUCGGCAGCGGAUGAGGUCCCUUCACCAAAUUCAGGCACUACGGUCGUUUCAAUAUAUCAUGGCCGGUGAGUCAAAACCUUUAUUUUCUUGCCCUUCGGCACAACAGUGGUGUCCGAAGCGACAUUUUUUCUCUUUUUUCCUUGCCUUUGCAAGGUGUCGGUGUUUUGGGUCCGACCGCACACCUAGGGUUGCCCCUCAAGGUGUUUUUAGGAGUAGGACGGUGUCGACGACUGUAGCAAAAUGGUUCGUGCCGAUCGCACGAGGGACAAUGGACAAGAUUUGCAGGUUCGGGCCGCUUAGAAGUGCGUAACACCCUACGUCCUGGUGAGUAUAUGAGUGUGGUUACAAGAGGGCUUUCUGGAUAGAGGGCGCAGAAAGUUUACGUGGGUGGCUAAGUAGAACUGGGUCGAUCGUUCUGAAGGGGUGCCCCCUAGGCCUUAUAUACUCGACCGUGGGGCAGUACAUGUGAUAUGAUAACAACAAGUAGCUAAAAGAUAGUGAACCUCUUGAGUUUAUCCCUACGUAACCCUUGCCGACUUAUCCUCGCAUGGCUCCGUUGCAUGGGGGCUUCAGUGCGGGAAAGUCGGGUCUUUGUUGCGAUUCAUUCGUUCGACGUUGUGGGCCGUCCGGGUCUGCACUAAUCCAGUCUCACGUCUUCUCUUCUUUGUUGGUUGUCUUUCCCUAGGCCCACGAAAGAAUGACCUUACGAAUUAUCGGGCCCUUGGGCCUUUCGUGAGGCCUUUUACUUCUUUAGUGGACCCAGGGGAUAUCUAUCCCCCACACAAGGGGUAGCAGUAAUCAGGGUAUAUGAAGCCAAUUGCAUCAAAAACUCUGUUCAAUCUUUUCUUGCCCCGACCCCUGAAGGAUGAGGAUAAAGCAUCAUCUUCGGCUCUGGUAUAUGUCCCAAGUAACUCGUCGCUAGUAGCCUCAAUACAUUUCAGCCAAUCGUCAUUUGGCUCGUCAAACCGGUCCCUGAAUCUGAAGGUAUAUUUCAAUCGAACUAAUCCACCUUCGAUGGAUCCGGCAGCAGUCUCCUUCGGCAUCUCCCAGUUAUCCACAAGUGGCCACACUCUAUAGGCUAUGUGCUCUUGGAUUAUGUCUCUUAUGCCAAUGAAAGCACAGACAUUGCUGAAAGCCUUUUGACACGCUUCGGCAUCACUUUCAAUUGCCACCCUCGGCCUUCGAAGGCCGAAGCGAGACCAGAUGGGGCGCUGGAUAAUUUCCUUAAUGUCCUCCCUCUCAACCAGAUUAUUCUUAACAUAAAACCAUUCCUCCAUCCAGGCCCCGGGCCACCUUUUCCGAAAUGUUGGAACCGGGUAGCUUGCAUUGGGACGAGCAAUGAAUCCAUAACAACCGAAGUUGUUGUGAUACUACUCUUUGCCAGUGGCCUUCGACUCGUACAAUAGUUCAUGCAUACUGCAAAAACACUUCGCGCUCGGUUCCAGUCCCUGUCUUCUUACAGCCCAAACAAACAAGCCCAUUCUAAUUAUAGCUUUGGGAGUAAGUUGAUGAAUAAAGAUCUAAAAUAUCUUUAGCACUUUAACCAAAAAUCUGCUUAAUGUGAACCGAAGACCCGCCUUCAAAAAGCUUUUGUAAACAACCACCUCAUUUUCUUCAGGAGCAGGGGCGGUGCUGUCUCCUCCAACCCUCACAAUAGACAUGUCACGAAAGUAUCUUCCCUUCAUGGCGUCAACAAGACUUUGCUUAAUAGUCGACUUUCCGAAGAUGGUAUGGCUUGGUCGCUAGGGCCGGUCCUCAGAAUCUUCAUCUCCACUUUUCACAUCAUAGUCAUCGCUAUCGUCGGAAUCCUCAGACAAAUCCGCCAUUAUUUCCUUUGUGAUCUUUUCUAUAUUUGUCUUUGCCAUAGAUUCGUAAAACCCAGCAAGAAAAGGGUCCGCAACCUUCUUCUCCUCAUACAGUUUCUCCUCCUCGGAUAUCUUCUUCUCUCCAGACAUCUUCUUCUCUUCAGACAUGGAACAAGCACUUGACUUUAAGACGAAGCUCGAAAAUCAAGCAAGAGCUAACAGUAAGAGAAUUAAGAUUUGAGAAAACAGCGCAAGCAACAGAAAUGGCGUAGCAAAUGUCGCUGCUGCGGGCAUCUAUUUAUACGCCUAGGGCAUUGCAACUUGGCGGGUCCCAUUUGUCAUUGACUUUCGCUAUUCUAGCGAAAGGAAGGUGUUUUUUCGGACUUUCGGCUUAAGGUCUUCGUUCACGUCGCAGUCUGAAUUCGUUGUUACAAGAACAAAUUAAUACUGCGAGGGGCUACUGUUGGGGGCCUUCGUCUUCCGAAGGUCCUCAAAAACACGACUAACAUGCUUUCCAAGUAUAAUAUAUUAUCACAGGAACUUUCGGCCUUGAGAUAAAGGUGCGCACGGUAUGAAAGGCGCGGUCUGGGAGAAGGAAGAACCAGUUCCGAGAAGCUACGAAUGAAGAAGCUUCAGCUUAGCGCAAGGGCAGCGAUGGCGAAUGGAACCGACCUAAAGGGGAAUAUACUACCCAGUCCUCGACAAAUUACUCCUUAGUUAGCAGUAAGUGUCAAGGACAUGGAUGUAAUUUUACCCAGACUGCGUCUUGUGCCUAUAAAUAGAUGAACAGUAACACCGUACUGUUCACACCGUACUGUUCACGCUGACUUGUAAUCGCUCGCACGUCACUCUUUGACUUUUACCUUCUGUCGAGCCGAAGGUAUGCCCUUCAUUAUCUCCGUAUGAAGGUCAUUAUAUUAUAAAGGAGAUAAUACUUCGAAUGACGAAGGCCUUUAACCAUUAACAUUCGUGUUGCUUUGUUCUUAACUCAUAGCAUUUGAGAACAAAUCAUCAACACUCGGUAAACCCACGUUCUUAUGGUAAGUUUGUCGGCUUAUUACAAUUAUUACAUUAAGUUCGACGGUUUGUCACAACGUUCAUUAACUAGUUUCCUGUUGUGCACUGUUUCGGUACUAAAAUUCGUGAUCCACUGUUUGGGGAAACAACCUCACAACCGAGUCCUAGUUGCUUCUUAAAUACACAAAUUAAUACUGUAUUGUAUAGAUAUAUAGGUUCCAUGAAUAACUGCUUGGGCUGUUUAGGUGCUGCUCACACGGUUAUAAAAAAAAGAGCGAAACUAGCAAAAUUCCGAAAACAAAACAGAAAAAUGCCGCGUCGAGGUGGGCGCAGGCAACACAAGACACCGACGUACGAUACGGCCACGCAAGUCCGCGUCGCGUCCAACUCCAACGGGUCUAUAAAAAGGCACCGCCACGCCACGCCGUCUCAUCAAACCAAAGUCGAAAGUUUUGUUCAGCUCGGAGAAAUUUGCUAUUUUGCCACUCUCAAUUUUGGCUGCCUGUUAUUAUGCCAUCCCGUGUUUAUAACUGGUGAGACCGUCUGUGUCUAUAAUUUGUGAGUCCGAUAGCAUACUGGCGAAGCCCACAAAUGAUAAUGGCAAAAUUGUCAAUGGCUCGCUCGCUCCAUCGCAACGUAAUCGAGAUGGGGCGCAUGGCGUCGCUUCUACUCGCCGUCGCCCUCGCGCUGUUGCUCCCGACGUCGUUCUGCGCCGCCGAGCCAAUCAAGACCACGCCCACGCUCUGGAGCUUUCACCUACCGCUUCCCGACGGCGUUAUCGGCGCUGAGAGCCUCGCCUUCGACCGCCGCGGCCAGGGCCCCUACGCCGGCGUCUCCGAUGGCCGCGUCCUCAAGUGGGGCGGCAGCGCCCUCGGCUGGACCACGUUCGCCCACAGCGCAAACUAUCGGAAGAUCCCUCUGUGCACAGCGUCCGUGGUGCCGUCGGAGCAGACGGAGAGCAUGUGCGGCCGCCCCCUUGGGCUGCAGUUCUUUGCCAUGACCGGUGAUCUCUACAUCGCCGACGCGUACAUGGGGCUCAUGAAGGUCGGGCCCAACGGCGGCGAGGAGGCACAGGUGCUGGCGACCCAAGCGGGCGACGCGCCGUUCCACUUCGUCAACGGGCUCGACGUCGACCAGGCCACCGGCGACGUGUACUUCACCGACAGCAGCGCCAUCUACCCGCGCAGGUUCAACACGGAGAUCAUGAUGAACGCCGACGCGACGGGGCGGCUGCUCAAGUACGACGCGCGGACGAAGCGAGUCACCGUGCUCAAGGCCGACCUGCCGUACCCCAACGGCGUGGCGGUCAGCAACGACAGGACUCAUGUGGUGGUGGCGCACACCGUUCCGUGCCAGGCGUUCAGAUACUGGCUCAAAGGCCCCAAGGCCGGCCAGUACGAGCUCCUCGCCGACCUGCCUGGCUACCCUGAUAACGUGAGGCGCGACGCCAGGGGCGGCUACUGGGUAGCGCUCAACCAGGAGAAGGCGCGCCUCGACGCCACGGCGCCUCCAGCAAAGCAUCUAGUUGGUGUCCGGCUCGCCGUAGACGGCGCGGUGGUGGAGGAGCUGACGGCGGCGAAAGGCGUGACACUGAGCGACGUCGCCGAGAAGGACGGCCAGCUCUGGCUCGGAUCUAUAGAAUUGGACUACGUGGGCUUAGUUUAGAUUACUAUACGCUACUGUAUUAGAAAGUAUUUUAUUUGGAAAGAAAUACCCUUAGAUUACUAUACACUGCUGUAUUAGAUAGUAUUUUAUUUGGAAAGAAAUACCCUGGUAUUCAAAUUAGACAGGAACGCUUUAGUUAGACUGUAUUCCAUUUCAAUAAAUACUGUUAUUUUUAUACUUGCCGAAGGCUUGUUCAGUACAUGUUUAUAAUGGUGUUAUAGUGUAAUACUCAGAUGUGUAAUAAAGAGAAUAGAGAUAGUCUCAAUAGUUGAUGGCCUCUACUAUUCAUUACAUGAGAUCAACACUUGUUAAAAGUGGAUAAAUAGAAUAAAGAAUACAUAAAUAACAUGUGCAUCAUGCUGGAUCUUACUUUAUGUGCAUUUUUGUGAUGAUAUAAAAAUAUGGUUAAAAAUAAUAAUAAUUAUUAUUAUGUUAAUUCCCCAAUGGGAAAUUAAAUCCAAAAAGAAAUUUUAGAAUUUGGGAAAAAAGAAAGGAAAUUCUAGAAUUGAAACCAAAAGGAGAAAAGAUAUAAAAGUAAUAUAUAUAUAAUAAUAUGUUUUCAAAGUAGUACUAUUUAUGGAGCAACAUCAUCUGAGAAUAAUUGGUCACAAUAGUUUGAAUUAAAUUUGAAUACAACUUGAAUUUGAAAAGAGAGAGAAAAAAAAAGAAAAAAAGAAACCCUGUUUGGGCUGGCUCCCACGAAUUCGGCCCACCAGGGAAAUCACCCCGCGCGGCCCAUCCUCCCACCUCUCACCCGCGCGCCUGGAUCAACUACACCCGGCGCUGACGGGAGGACCCCGCGUGCCAGACACUGUGCAAUCGACCACUGCCGCUGGGCCUUAGUUGUCAGAAGCGUAACAAACCUCUCCGCGCGGACCGCGCCCACCUCGCGCUGUAGCUCGCCGGGGAUCUCGGCUUCCGUGAACGGCCUACUACUCGGCUGGGCGGCAUAAGACUCUCGACUGACCUUUCUCCCUCCUCAUUCCACUAGAGCGUUCUUCCUUUGUGCCUCCUUCCAGACGCCACCAGAGAGAAUGCGGUAGUUCACCGCCGCCGUCAUUGAACCACGUCACCGACACCCAUUUGCUCCAAUUGCCUCGCCCUGGUCGCUUGUGUGGUCGCACGGGUCAAGCUCAGGGCAGUGACCGGGGGAGAGCGACAUCGACUGGGCGGGAAUUUCUCGCCGUAGUCGGAUCUCACCAGCGGAACCGUGUCGUCGCGUGGCCAGCACCGUCGGGGCUUCGAUUGCCGGUACGUGUUCGACCACCCUGUUCCUGUAGACGCCCGCAUAGAGUAGGUCCCUUUCGAGGGUCGAGUUAGGGCCUAAUCGGGGCGGUUGCCGAACGCCGGGGGCGCGCCACCGUAGCGUGAGGGUGCGGCGCCGCCGGGAUUUUACCGGAGGUAGAAGAGCGGGAUGGGAGCCAUUGAUUCUCUGAUCAACGGUGGGGAUUAGCUUCCACUCAUAUCCACUCGGGAAUAAAUCUGGGCCGCAUGCGUUGAAUCGACGGUCGCGAUUAGUUGAUCCCGUAACCUUUCGCCGUAUUGAAUCUUGACCGUAGAUUGCCGAUCGUCCGGUAGAAAUUGGAGCCUGGCGUGGCGUGCUGUAAGCCAUCGAUCUCAGAUCCGGUGGUCUGCGCUGCUUACCGCUUCAUAGAUUUAAUAAUCUAAUCUGGUGCGUCCGUAGCAGAUUCGACGGCCGAGAUCCAAGCGUACCCCUUCGCGGGUACGUUUUGUAAAAGAAACCCUGGGUUUAAAGGAUAUCAACCCGCCAUCCAGAGAACCUUAUUCACUGAGUCUCGGAAAACUUACGCCAGAUCCCCCCGACUUUUCCAGAAAUUGGCGCCCAGUCCAGAGCACGUUUAAAAUGUAUAAAUGAAUUAGUAAAUGUAUUUUUAAUACAAAAAUAAUUCCUAGAACUUUGUUAAUUCAUAGAAAAUUCUUAUGAACUCCAAAUUACUCCAUUCCAGUUCCUAAAAUUUUGUAAUAAGAUUCUCUAUCAUUUAGUGUCUCUGUUUUGUCAUGAAAACAGUUAGAAAAUCAAUUUCUCAUCUAAUCCUAUUUCAAUCACAUUAAACAUUAGGAAAUUCAUAACUUGAAAUCUAUAACUCCAAAUUUGAUGAUUCCAAUUCCUAUGAUCUCAUUUUAAUGUGUAGAUUUUUACUGUAUAUUUUAUUUGCAUGUUUGAUGUGAUGUUAAUUUAUGCUAUACUAUGUAUGUAUUGUGUUGAUGCGAGUAGACGAGCAAGCCACUGUGGAUUCUGAGGUUCAGCAAGUUGAGGUAGCUGAGCAGGAGCUCAUUGAAGGCAAGUUGUGCCCUUGAUCACUUACUUUUCCCAGCCAUGUUCUUAUUAAUUUUAAUGAUCUGCAUAGGUUAAUUUUGAUGGGAGCCUUUAUGUUACCCCAGUUUUGAUUACCUCUAUACCUUGUUCACCCCUGAAAUAUUUUUGGGUAGUAAUUGCUAUUGCUUUAUGUGGAUUGGGUAUGGAGAUACACUACUCAUGAUUAUUCUGUUAUUAUCUUGAUUAUUAUUACUAUUCAUGUUAAGAUCAUUAAAUUAAUGGGAACAUGGAGCGACCACCCGGGAAAACAGUGCUACCACAAGGGUAUAAUGGGACGCCCUUGGCUGAUUAACUAGGAAAGCUAGUGGAGGUCUUCCUUACCCGAAAGGGGCAAGGGCAGUAGGGGAGUGGUCAGUGUAGGGAGGUCCUUGGUUGAUUUUGCUGCGAUGGCGGUCAGGCAAGAACCCUGCACUGGAGCUUCCUAUAAACUGUAGCGGGAUUUCUGAAGCUAGUGGAACUUUGUAAAGGCCUCGUAGUGUUACCCUGCCUCGCCUCCUCGGUAGAAGUGUAUGGGAUUGGCCAUCUCUUGGCAGAUGGGUAACAUGACUUGUGGGUAAAGAUGCGCAACCUCUGCAGAGUGUAAAACUGGUAUACUAGCCGUGCUCACGGUCAUGAGCAGCUCGGACCCUCACAUGAUUAAUUAUGGAACUUAAAUUCAAUUUGACAUUUGCAUCGCAUUUGGGAUUAUUUUACUAUUAUUGUUCUUUAUUAUUAUUAAGGUUUGGUAUUUACUUACACUUAGUAAUUGCUAAUAAAAUUUUGACCAACUUAUAAAAGCAAUGCUCAGCCUCAGCCUCUAUUUCAUUGAUUAGCCUUACACAACAUGAACUCCCACCUUUGGUGAGUUCAUGCCACAUUAUUCCCCACGACUUGUUGAGCGAUGAACGUAUGUGAGCUCACUCUUGCUGUCUCACACCCCCCCACAGGAGAAGAACAGGUGGUUCAGGAGGAGCCACAAGGCGAGGAGUAUGAUCUGAUCUAGGUGGCGUUUCUCAGUUGACAUUGGCGCCGACGAUCCUUAGUUCGUUUUACAUUUAUUCCUUUAUUUUGUAAUAAGUCUUCCGCUAUGUAAUAAUUACUCUGAUGUUUUAUGACAUUUAUCUCUAUACACUCUGUUAUUAUAUAUGUUGUCUUCUUGGCGCAUGUAUGAGAUGCACCCGGCUUUGUUCCUUAACACUACAAGAAACUGAUUAAAGAACGUGGGUGAAAAACCGUCGAACUUAAUGUAAUAGGCCGUCGAACUUACCAUAAGAACGUGGGUUUACCGACGAAUAUAGCCGACGGCGAUUUUUGGACGAACUUAGAGAAGUAAGUUCGACGGCCCCGACGAACUUAACAUUAAGAACGUGGGUACCGUCGAACUUAACAUUAAGAACGUGGGUACCGUCGAACUUAACAUUAAGAACGUGGGUUUUUAAGUUCGACGGGAGCCGUCGAAUUUUUUCCCAUAAGUUCGACGGCACCCACGUUCUUAAUGUUAAGUUCGACGGUACCCACAUGGUCGUCGAACUUAUGGGUCCUGCGUGGGUCGGCGAGGGCUGCCCAUUAAGUUCGACGGUACCCACGUUCUUAACGUUAAGAACGUGGGUACCCACGUUCUUAACCCUUUUCCAGAAAAAAUAAAAAAAUACAGAAAUGGAAAAUUAGACACACAUAAUAUUACAUGCAACACCGAAUAUCACAUACAAUAAAGAUUUCAAACACAUUGAUAUAUGUUCAUAUCACAAAUUCACACAAGUCCAAAUAUAUAAGUUCACAAAUUCACAUAAAAUCAAAUACAUAAGUUCACAAAUUCACACAAGUUCACAUCCAUAGUUCACAUUUGUAGUUCACAAGUUCAAACACACAAGUUCAAACAUUAGCUCCAUCGCUCUCGAUCAGGACAUCGGAUUGUUGUUUGUAGCUCCACAACUAGAAUUGAGACAUCUGUCCGCAAAGUCAACGUGAGGGAGAGGAGUCACUUGAUGAGAGCCGGAAUCCUACAAAAUAAACCAAAAUUCUCAUAAAUAUACAACUGGCAUUAAAUCACAUUACCAUGCAAGAAUAUUCGGAAUAAUAUGACCAUUCGUGCUGCUCUACAUUACCAUGCAAGAAACUGUUCGAAUCGAUCGUGCAUAUCUACAUUCAAUAAGAUUCAAUAAUGAACUAGACAACCACAACUGCAUGUUUUUUUAAGAGAAAUAUGUAAAACAUCCAGAAACUAACCGACGAUUUUUUAUUCAACAAUGAUUCGUCCUCAUGAUAUAAUUUAACUGAUUGUAGUCCUGGAUAAAUAUCAAAUAUAGGAGCACUGAGCACACCCUCAAAAGAGAAACACACAGGUUAGUUCCUGGAUGCUUUACACUCCGUUGAUUCCAAUGAUCAUUUCUUACUUAACUCUUAUUCGACUCGCCAAUAAAUUGAAACCAUAUUUUAAGUUAACCCCCAAAGCCCAAACAAACAUCAAAGAAUAAUAGAUCUAUGGUUAUACACACUAUUAUCAAUUUAUCAUUGACACUAGUACUUGGCACUGCAAAAACUCAGUGAGUUGUUACGGACCAUGGGUGCUGCAUUUCUGUUGUGCUAUAGUUUUCCUUUAUGUGCCUCUGUGAUUGCACUUCAUUUGGGCCUAGUGAUGUAAGCAGAACUUGAUACUGUACGGCAAGGCGAAUUGUGUGCAAGUAUUUUCCUUUACGUGUCCGUACUCUAGGUCUCCGUAAUGCAUAAAUAUUCCCUCUCUCUCUCUCUUGGUUACAAUACAUUCGACUUUGUAAGGGAAUCCUCAACUACUAGUCUUUGACCCCUACUCUAGUUUUCAUGGGGUCGCAGCAUUAGCUAACAAAAACUCAAAGAAUAUAGAGAAAGAUAAAACGACCUUGCCUUUGUAUGCAAGGUAGCUUAUAUAAACUAAAAAAAGUGGUGAUUACCUGUGCGCCAUCAUAGAUCACCAAUGAAUCGCUUUGAUCACAGGUUAAUAGUCGCAGGAGAUACUGGCUGAUGGUGGUGGUGACUAACUGAACUUAUCUCCAGUAUGAUUUCCAUAUUUUCCCACUGAUCUUUUGAACUUCAACUGGAUGGAUCAUAUCUGAGUUGAAGCUGCGCAUUGUGGUAUGCUAUACUUGAGAAUCAGAACAAACAGAGAUGAAACCCUCAGCAAGUCAGAUAUUCUUUGUUUCUCCAUUGUCUGUGUCACCUGAUUCCUCUAGCAGGAGACCUAAAAGAGGUAAGGGUAGCAGCGAACUAAGAUUGCAGACGACAAUCAAUAGAGGUAGGUUCCCAAAGGUGUCCCUGGUGACCCCAAAUAUCCGAGUUAGACCAGCACCAACCAGACCACCAGUAACACUUCGAGCAUUAGAAAUGGACAUCAAAGUUGCAAAUAAAGUGGCUUCCAUUCCUGGAGGGCACAGUUUUGCAGCUAACACCAAGACUGGCAUAAAUGAAGCCUACAAAAAAAGCUUAAGCAACAUAAGCUUGCAUUCAAGGAAGCAAUUGAAGGCAGGAGGUGUCAAAGCUAGAUAUUAUUUAACUCAUAUUAAUAUGCAAAUGAUGCUCUCAUUGUACACAUGGAACGUUGAGACUUCUAUCCUCAAAAUAAGUCAACAUAUUCCUAAGAACAGGUACACCAUUUCACAACUAAGAUCAGCUGAUCCUGAAUUGUUAGUGGCCAGUCUAAAUUAUGGACAUAUAAAAAUACUAUGUUACACAGUCACUAAGUAACGAAAAAGGGUACAUGAUCAACUGAAUACAUUUUUAUAUGCAAUCAUGUAAAAUGCACUCUACUGUUAUUAAGCAUUGCAGUAAUGUUACUUACCUGACCAAGGACUGCGAUGAUUAAUGAAUCACCAAUAGAAAACCACUCAUCACUAAUCCCAAACUUCCGAUUUAAUCCAGUUACAAGAAGCACCUAAAUAUAUACGAUGCAGUAUGUUUAAAGGAUAGAAAAGAAUUGCAGUAACAAUCAAGAAAAUAAUAUAAAGAGCACCUGUGUCAUCCCAAGAGCUGAACCUAUAAUGGUUGUCACGAGAAAUAUUUUCUUUAGAGGAACUUCCUUCAGAAAAUAGUUGUAGAGCCCAACACCGAGCAGGGAUGCAAAGGAGGUUACAAGCUUCACACGCCCUAGAAACUCUGGUGUGAAUCCAAGCUUAUUUGUGCUGAAAUAUAUUAUUCAACAUAAGAUAAAAAGUAGUUAAUAGUUUUUAUUCAUUAUAAAAUAAACAGUACAUAAAAAACACAAGCAAUCAGACAAGAGACAGGUUUAGCCUGGAAAACCCAAACAGGUAACACAGGUGCACAAAAUAGGAGGAUCCAAAGAGUAACAAGCAGAAAUGAAAUAGUAGUCCAUCCUCAAUAGGCUAAAGACCUGAAGUGUUUAUGUAGGGUAGAAAAAAAACUCCUAGCAACUCCCCACGGGUAACCGAAGCAGGUGAAGAGCCUCCAAUAUAUAGCAACAAGGCUAGCCAGCAUCCAAUCCAAACCAGGAGCACAGGAUCACCCAACUAAACAUAAGAAAUCCGCUGACGGUUGGUGAUUUAGGCACAACCAAUCAGAAAAAAAUCAGGAGUCACCAUUCGGUUAUGGUUGGUUCCAUAGGGUGCACACAUUGCUAAUCAGCACAUGAACCACCACGAAUAAUGACAACCUCCUCACUGGAACCUCCGUGGAAGCAGCCCGUUACUCGUCCAUAAUCAAAGAGAUUGUUGGUAGCCCGUGCAUAUCAGAGAUAUUGUUGGUAACCCAUGCAUAAUCAGAUACAUCGUCGGGAGCCGAGAACCAAGCUACCUUGCUGGAAUUGCAGUCCUAGAUGCGAACAGAUCCAUCGACGCUGCCGGAGUAGAGCUUGUUCGAACCAGACGGCAGAGAAAUCCCACCGAUAGCCUAUCAGAUUUUAUGAUUACUGUAAGACAUCCACCACAACUGCUAGACAAAAAUUAGCGAUCUCGUCGAGAUAGAGAAUUUUCAGAGAGAUGGGGGAAGCGCGCACCUCGGUGUGUCCAGCAAGGGCGCAGAGGAAGACGAAUCCGCCCUCACCGCUGCAGCGGCGCUUCUCCUCAAGGGGCGGCCUAUCGUCGUCGUCUCCAUGCGCCAGUUUCGGCUUCGACUCAGCCGCGCGCGCGUCGGGCACAUCGAGCUCGGCACGGCGACCCAAACCGGAUCGCACCGCCUUCUGAGAGGGUUCGAGAGGUCUCGUGCACGAGGGCACAUCGGGCGGUGGCUGCGGCAGCGGUUGGGGUGGCGAGGGCGGGCCGCGUGCUGGGCAGCGUGCUAGCAGGCGCGCGGUGGGGCGGUGGGGCGGCGGGGCACGCGCGGGGUGGCGGCGUGCUGGGCGGCGCGCGGUGGGGCAGCGGGGCGCGCGCGGGACGGGGCGGCGGCGGCGAGCGCGCGGCUUGCAGCUAGCUGCGGGCACGCUCAGUAGACAGAUGGAAAGAAGAGAGACGCGCGGGGUGAGAGAUUUAGGUUUUUUUGGGUUUAGUUCGACGGUGUCCACGUGGCCCACGAAUUUAAUAUAAAAACAUGGGUACCCACGUUCGUAAUACGAUAAGUUCGACGGUUUUAUUACGGACCCACGAAUUUAAUUUAAGAACGUGGGUACCCACGUUCUUAACAUAACCCACGAAUGUAACUCAAUUAAGAACGUGGGUACCCACGUUUUUAAAUUAACCCACGAAUAUUUAUUAGUUUCUUGUAGUGUAAAACCGGGUGUUACAGAAGUGGUAUCAGAGGAAAUGUUGACUGUAGGACGAAACCUAGAUAGAAAUGGACAUCCCUUACCUACUUAUCUUAUUCUGAUUCAUGCUACACUUACCUUACUCUGAUUCUUUCUACACUUAUCUUGAUCCUGUCUCACCUUCUACUGUUCUACUCUGAUCAUUCUUACCUUUUCUAUUCUGAUACAAGAUGGAUUUCACACCUUGGAAUCCUACAUUUAUGACCUUUUUAAGAGAUAGGAUACCUAAAAAAAUAA